rnacentral:lncRNA from 1 species
CAACAACCGCCUUACGGGGGGCCCACGAGGGACAGGGGCGCGCCCCCUGCCUCGUGGCCCCCUCGGGCACCUUCUCGCAUUGAUUCUUCUUCCCAUAUUUCACAAAUAUUCCAAAAAUAUUCUUCGUCCAUUUUUAUUCCGUUUGGACUCCGUUUGAUAUGGAUUUUCUGCUAAACAAAAAACAUGCAACAAACAGGAACUGGCACUGCGCACUGGAUCAAUAUGCUAGUCCCAAAAAUAGUAUAAAAAGUUGCCAAAAGUAUAUGAAAGUUGUAGAAUAUUGGCAUGGAAUAAUCAAAAAUUAUAGGUACGACGGAGAUGUAUCAGCAUCCCCAAGCUUAAUUCCUGCUCGUCCUCGAGUAGGUAAAUGGUAAAAAAGAUAAUUUUUGAUGUGGAAUGCUACCUAGCAUAAUCUUGAUCAUGUAAUCUAAUCAUGGCAUGAAUAUUAAGACACGAGUGAUUCAAAGCAAUAGUCUAUCAUUUGACAUUAAAACAAUAAUACUUCAAGCAUACUAAUAAAGCAAUCAUGUCUUUUCAAAAUAACAUGACCAAAGAAAGUUAUCCCUACAAAAUCAUAUGGUCUGGCUAUGCUUCAUCUUCACCACACAAAAUAUACAAAUCAUGCACAACCCCGAUGACAAGGCAAUCAAUUGUUUCAUACUUUUGAUGUUCUCAAACCUUUUCAACUUUCACAGAAUACAUGAGCGUGAGCCAUGGAUAUAGCACUAUAGGUGGAAUAGAAUAUGAUGAUGGAGGUUGUGUGGAGAAGACAAAAAGGAGAAAGUCUCACAUCGACGCGGCUAAUCAACGGGCUAUGUAGAUUCCCAUCAAUUGAUGUCAAUGUGAGGAGUAGGGAUUGCCAUGCAACGGAUGCACUAGAGCUAUAAGUAUAUGAAAGCUCAAACUGAAACUAAGUUGGUGUGCAUCCAACUUGCUUGCUCAUGAAGACCUAGAGCAUUUGAGGGAGCCCAUCAUCCGAAUAUACAAGACAAGUUCUAUAAUGAAAAUUCCCACUAGUAUAUGAAAGUGAUAACUCAAUGAGACUCUCUAUAUGAAGAACAUGUUUCUACUUUGAAGCACAAGUGUGGUAAAAGGAUAGUAACAUUGUCCCUUCUCUCUUUUUCUCUCAUUUUUUUGUUUUUUUGUUUUUUCAUUUUUUAGGCUUCUUUGGCCUCUCUCUUUUUUGGGGGGCUUCUUUGGCCACUUUUAUUUUGAUAACCUGACAUGGGACAAUGUUCUAAUAAUGAUCAUCACACUUUUAUUUACUUACAACUCAAUAUUACAAGUCGAUACUAGAAUAAAAUAUGAAUCUAUAUGAAUGCCUCCGGCGGUGUACCGGGAUGUGCAAUGAUCUAGCGUAGCAAUGACAUCAAAAAACGGACAAGCCAUGAAAACAUCAUGCUAGCUAUCUUACGAUCAUGCAAAGCAAUAUGACGAUAAAUUCUCAAGUCAUGUAUAUGAUGACGAUGGAAGUUGCAUGGCAAUAUAUUUUGGAAUGGCUACGGAAAUGCCAUGAUAGGUAGGUAUGGUGGCUGUUUUGAGGAAGAUAUAAGGAGGAUUAUGUGCGAUAGAGCGUAUCGUAUCAUGGGGUUUGGAUGCACCGGCGAUGUUUGGACCAACUCUCGAGGUGAGAAAGGGCAAUGCACGGUACCGAAGAGGCUAGCAAUGAUGGAAGGAUGAGAGUGCGUAUGAUCCAUGGACUCAACAUUAGUCAUAAAGAACUCACAUACUUAUUGUAAAAAUCUAUUAGUCAUCAAAACAAAGUGCUACGUGCAUGCUCCUAGGGGGGUAGAUUGGUAGGAAAACACCAUCGCUCGUCCCCGACCAUCACUCAUAAGGAAGACAAUCAAUAAAUUCCUCAUGCUCCGACUUUAUCACAUAACGGUUCACCAUAUGUGCAUGCUACGUGAAUCACAAACUUCAACACAAUUAUUUCUACAAUCCACAACUACGCACUAGCAUGAGUCUAAUAUCACCAUCUUUAUAUCGCAAAACUAUUGCAUGGAAUCAAACAUAUCAUAUUCAGUGAUCUACAAGUUUUAUGUAGGAUUUUAUGACUAACCAUGUGAAUGCCCAGUUCUUGUCAUCUCUCUAAAUAGAUAUAAGUUAAGCAAGAGAGCUUAAUUCUUUCUACAAAAGAUUUUCCCACGCUCUAACAAAUAUAAGUGAAGCAAAAGAGCAUUCUAAAAAUGGCGGUUUUCUAUGUGUAGGGAAACAUGCAAUCCAAACUUCAAAUGAUAUAAGUGAAGCACAUGAAGCAUUCUAUAAAGCCAUACUCAAAAGAUGUAAGUGAAGUGCAAAUAGAAUUCUAUAAAUCAACCAAGGACUAUCUCAUACCAUCAUGGUGCAUAAAAUAAAAAUGAAAACUAAAUGCAAAAUACGCUCCAAGAUUUACGCAUAUCAUGUGACGAAUAAAAAUAUAGCUCCAAGUAAAAUUAGCGAUGAUUGUUAGAAGAAAGAGGGGAUGCCUUCCGGGGCAUCCCCAAGCUUGUUUGCUUAGGAGUUAUUGAAUAUUUCCUUGGGGUGCCACGGGCAUUCCCAAGCUUAGGCUCUUGCCACUCCUUAUUCCUUCAUCCAUCGUGAUCUCUCCCAAAACUUGAAAACUUCAAUCACACAAAACUCAACAGAAAACUCGCUAAGAUACGUUAGUAUAAUAAAGCAAAUCACUACUCUAAGUAACCAAUUCAUAUUUUGUUUUUUCAUUGUAGCUACUGUAAUAUACCUUUUUCAUGGCUUAAUCCACUGAUAUAAAUCGACAGUUUCAUCAAAACAAACAAACUAUGCAUCAAAAACAGAAUCUGUCUAAAACAGAACAGUCUGUAAUAAUCUGAACAUUCACCAUACCUCUUGUACUCCAAAAAUUCUAUAAAAAUUAGGAAAAAUGAAAAUUUUGUAUAGAAAUACAGUACAAUAAGUAUCAGAACCGUUUGACGUUCCAGUAAAAAAUGUAAAAUCGCGCACUACAGCCGAAGUUUCUGUCCUGCACCAUACAAACCAACAAGCAUUGUAAACAUCCUAAAGGCAAACCUUGGCACAUUAUUUUUAUAAUACAAUGGAAUUGUGCAAGGGGAUAAUGAAAAGUUUCUGUAAUCAAGAUUCACAAAGUUUCCGUGAGCAUGAACAAAGUUCAAGGAGCUCCCCCACUUCAACAAUGCUUGUCUCUCUCACUUUCACUUUCCUUUUUGAAAAAGUUUUGGGUUCCCCUCUUUAUUUAUUUAUUUGUUUUUAAACUAUGUGAAAGCAGUCAACAGAAAUAAAAUGACUCUCUAAAACUUUCGGGUUGUCUCCCUGGCAGCGCUUUCUUUAAAGCCAUUAAGCUAGGCAUAUAGUGCUCAAGUAAUGGAUCCACCCAGAUCCCAAGGUAUAUCAAAGCCAAUUUGAAUUAGCAAUGAUUUGGCAUUUAGUAGUGAGCACAAAGCAACAUAUAUCAAGUAAUGACGAAGUCUAACUCUCUUCCUAUGCAUCAGCAUGUCAUACAAGAACAAUUCAUGCACACAAAGUAAAGGCCAAUGCAUAGUAUAAACAGUUUCUUGCAAUUUUUUCGUGUUGGAAACAUAAAGAGGUGGAGAUAUAGUUCCUCUCUCAUAAUAAUUGCAAGUAGGAGCAGCAAGCACAUGCAUAUUAUAUCUAUCAAAAUUAUCAUGUGUAGUAGUAAAAUGCAAUCCAUCAAUAUAAUCCUUAAUAAGGGUAAACUUCUUCGGUAUAGUGUGGUUGGGAGAAUUCAAAAAGAUAACAGGACUAUCAUGCAUGGGUGCAAUAGCAACAAUUUCAUGUUUAACAUAAGGAACUAUAGCAAGUUCAUCUCCAUAAGCAUAAUUCAUAUUGGCAUGUUGGCCACAAGCAUAGCAAGCAUCAUCAAAAAGGGAUAUUUCAAAAGAAUCAACAGGAUCAUAACAAUCAUCAUAGCAUUCAUCCUUUGGUAAGCACGAAGGGAAAUUAAACAUUGUAUGGGAUAAAGAGUUACUAUCAUUAGAAGGUGGGCACGGGUGAUCAAUCCACUCUUCCUCCUUUCGUUCUUCGCUCUCCUCCUCAUCUUUUUCAUCCAAUGAGCUCACAACGUCAUUAAUUUCUUCUUCCAUAGACUCCUGCAAAAUAUUACUCCCUUCUUGGAUAGCGGAGGCUCUCUCAAUAAAAUCAUCAAUAUCGGAAUUGAAUUCAUAAUUCUCAUAGCAAUAUUUAAGUAUAGCAAAAUUUUCAGGUCUGUAAACAGCAUUAUCAAGAUUUUCACACUCUUUAAACAAAGAUUCAAUUUCAUAAGCACCCAUAAAAGCAACAAAUUAUUCUAUUUGUUCCACAUCAUAGUAAUCAUAUAUACCAUUAGCAUAAGAUGCCAAGGUUUUAUCAUCAUUAAAUUUGCAUGAAAAGGGAAGGUGUGGAGCCUUCAUCCUAAAGCAACAAGUAUAGUCAUAUCUCAAGCAUAGUUCCCGAGCAUACCAAUGCAACAUAUGAAUUUGAUCCCAUAAUAGUUUCCCUUUUUGAGUCAAGCGAUAAUCCCUAAAGUAUUCUCAUUGAUCCAACAUGUCUCCCAUUACAUAAUUGAAUGGGGCUUUCUUAGGAUUAUCAAAAUAGUACAUAAUAUUUUUCACAUAACCAACAUCGAGGGUUUUAGGAGGUUCCCCAUCUCCGAGUAGCAGGUACACCUAUUUUUUUGGUAUUUCAUGUUCCAUAUCCAUAACUAAAGUAGAGAACAACUUAGAACAGCAAAUAAGAAGUACUUAGUGAUAAAGAAAACAAGCACACACGGGAAUAUUCACCCCAUGCUAUAACUCCCCGGCAACGGUGCCAGAAAAAGGUCUUGAUAACCCACAAGUAUAGGGGAUCAAUUGUAGCCUCUUUCGAUAAGUAAGGGUGUCGAACCCAACGAGGAGCUAAAGUUAGAACAAAUAUUCCCUCAAGUUCUUCCGACCACCGAUACAACUCUACGCACACUUAACGUUCGCUUUACCUAUAACAAGUAUGAAACUAGAAGUACUUUGUAGGUGUAUUUGGAUAGGUUUGCAAGAAUAUAAAGUGCACAUAAAUAAAAAGUAGGGGCUGUUUAGGUAAAGAAGCAAUAAAGUUAGUAUAGCGAGUGUGGAAAAGUGGUGGUAGGAGUUACAGAAUUGUCCCUAAGAAAUUGACUACUUUACUAGACUGAUAGCAAGUUUUAUGUGGGAGAGGCAAAUGCUAGCAUGUCAUCCCUGACUUGAAAUUCUAUGCACUUAUGAUUGGAACUAUUAGCAAGCAUCCGCAACUACUAACGUUCAUUAAGGUGAAACCCAACCAUAGCAUUACGAUAUAAUGUCCCCCUUCAAUCCCGUAUGCAUCAAUUUCUAUGCUAGGUUGAAGCUUCUGUCACUCUUGCCCUCCAAUACAUGGUCCUAUCAACAUACAACUAACCCUACGGUGUGAUCCACGCGCGUGCUCAUAUGAUGGGCACCAAAGGACAACAACAUAAGAACAAGAAAAUUAAUCCAAUCAUAGCAAUUCACCAAUCACCGAUAGGACAACGAAAAUAUACUCAGACAUCAUAGGAUGGCAAGCACAUCAUUGGAUAAUAAUAUGAAGCAUAAAGCACCAUGUUCAAGUAGAGGGUACAGCGGGUUGCGGGAGAGUGGACGUCUAUAGAUAGAGGGGGGAAGGUGAUGGAGAUGUUGGUGGAGAUGGCGGAGGUGUUGGUGAAGAUCACGGUGAUGAUGAUGGCCCCGGCGGCGUUCCGGCACCACUGGAAGAGAGGGGGACAGGGCCCCCCUUCUUCUUCUUCUUCUUCUUCUUCUUCUUUCUUGACCUUCUCCAUAGAUGGGAGAAGGGUUUCCCCUCUGGUCCUUGGCCUCCAUGGCAUGGGAGGGGAGAGAGCCCCUCCAAGAUUGGAUCCGUCUCUCUGUGUUUCUGCCUUCUCGGAUUCUGCCCUUUCACCGUUUCUUAUAUAUUCGGAGAUCCGUAACUCCGAUUGGAUUGAAACCUUCGCCCAGAUUUUUCUCCGAAAAUGAGCUUUGUUGCGGCCAAAGAAGAGCAGCAACCGCCUUAUAGGGGCCCACGAGGGUCAGGGGCGUGCCCAGGGGGGUAGGCGCGCCCCCCUGCCUCGUGGCCCCCUCCGGCACCUUCUCGUCUUGAUUCUUCUUCCCAUAUUUCACAAAUAUUCCAAAAAUAUUCUUCAUCCGUUUUAAUUCUGUUUGGACUCCGUUUGAUAUGGAUUUUCUGUGAAACAAAAAACAUGCAACACACAGGAACUGGCACUGGGCACUGGAUCAAUAUGUUAGUCCCGAAAAUAGAAUAAAAAGUUGCCAAAAGUAUAUGAAAGUUGUAGAAUAUUGGCAUGGAACAAUCAAAAAUUAUAGAUACGAGGGAGACGUAUCAGUUACCGGGAGAUCAAUGCCAAGCCGAGACAUACCAAGUACCCAUCAUAAACUCUCAUCCCCCGCAUUACAUUAUGCGCCAUUCGCCUCUCGUUUUCCUCUCCCCCACUUCUAGAACGAUUUUUGAAAAGAUUCGCCUUUUCUUCGCUCCUCUUCCAUUCGUCUUCUUCGUUUGCUUUUUGUGCCUAUGUGUUUAGACGCCGUUUAGCUCCCAUGGCUAGCCCUUUUUCUCUUCCUUUGUCUCCUAAUUUUGAAGUUCUUCACUUCAAACAAAGACAAGGAGAAAAUUUAAAAGAUGCUUGGUAUAGGAUAGUAGAAUCCUAUUGUAAUUGCAUUGUAGAAGGAGAUUCCAAUAUUGUACUUCAUAAUUUUUAUUUCGGGUUAAACAUGUCCCAUAGACAACUCUUGGAUUUUGCCGCUAAAGGCAAUUUUAUUGAAAUUUAUCCCAGUAUUGUGUAUGAGAUUAUAUAGGGAAUGGUAGGAAUACUACCCCCACAAAAGGGACUUCAUCAUACUCAAGAAGGGACCCAUGUUUUUGAGAAACUAUGCGAAGUAAUAAAUAUUUUGCAAAAAUCUCUUGAACCUCUCAAAAGUGUUAGCGGGAACCUUCACCGCAUGAAUAUGUUGAUCAGUCUUUGCAAUAAGCAGUUGGAUGCUCUAGAUCUAAAAAUUUCCGAGUAUGAAGGGAAAUUCAAGGAACCUCCAGGAUUUGAGCAUAAAUCCAUUAAAAAGAUAAAAGCCAAAAAUGACAAUAUCUAGAUCUAUUCGUGUUUUAUGCCUAGCUAAGGGCGUUAAACAAUAGCGCUUGUUGGGAGGCAACCCAAUUUAUUUAUUUUUGCUUUUUAGGUUCUUUUUGGCAAUAAAUAAUUCAUCUAGCCUCUGUUUAGAUGUGGUUUUAAGUUUUAAUUCGUGUUUGUGCCAAGUAAGACCUUUGGGAUAGCUUACGCUGAUAGUUGAUUUGAUCCUGCUGAAAAUCAGAAACUUUUGCACCCAGGAGAUUAGUUUUCACUUUUAAGAUAAGCGUGAUAAAAUACUGAUUAUUUUUGCAGAGGAUUAAUAAACAAAUUUCCAAGGACUUCCUAAUUUCUCAGGAUUUUUGGACUUACAAAAGUACUCGAAAUAUCUAGAUUGCUACAGACUGUUCUGUUUUUGACAGAUUCUGUUUUUUGCGUGUUGUUUGCUUAUUUUGAUGAAGCUAUGGCUAGUAUCGGUGGUUAUGAACCAUGGAAAAGUUGGAAUACAGUAGAUAUCACACCAAUAUAAAUAAAUAAUGAGUUCACAAUAGUACCAAAAGUGGUGAUUUAUUUUCUUAUACUAACGAACUUACGAGAUUUUUUGUUGAAGUUUUGUGUUGUGAAGUUUUCCAGUUUUGGGUAAGGUUUUGAUGGACUAUGAAAUAAGGAGUGGCAAGAGCCUAAGCUUGGGGAUGCCCAAGGCACCCCAAGAUAAUAUUCAAGGACAACUAAGAUCCUAAGCUUGGGGAUGCCCCGGGAAGGCAUCCCCUCUUUCAUCUUCGUCUAUCGGUAACUUCACUUGAGGCUAUAUUUUUAUUCACCAUAUGAUAUGUGUUUUGCUUGGAGCGUCUUGUAAGAUUUCAGUCUUUUCUUUCUAGUUUGCCACAAUCAUCCCUGCUCUACACACCUUUUUGUAUAGGCACACAUGAAUCGUGAUUUAUUAGAAUACUCUAUGUGCUUCACUUAGAUCUUUUGAGCUAGACAAUUUUGCUCUAGUGCUUCGCUUAUAUCCUUUUAGAGCACGACGGUGGUUUUAUUUUAUAGAAAUUGAUGAACUCUUGUACCUCACUUAUAUUAUUUUGAGGGUCUUUAAGAGAUCAUGACAAUUUGCUUUGGUUAUAAAAUUAGUCCUAAUAUGAUAGGCAUCCAAGAGGGAUAUAAUAAUAACUUUCAUAUAAAGUUUAUUGAAUACUAUGAGAAGUUUAAUUCCUUAUGAUUGUUUUGAGAUAUGAAGAUGGUGAUAUUAGAGUCAUGCUAGUAAGGAGUUGUGAAUUUGAGAAAUACUUGUGUUAAGGUAUGUGAGUCCCUAAGUUGGAGCAUGAGAUAUUUUUUGAUUGUCUUCCUUAUGAGUGGCAGUCGAGGACGAGUGAUGGUAUUUUCCUACAAAUCUAUCCCCCUAGGAGCAUGCGUGUAGUACUUUUUCUGAUAACUAAUAGAUUUUUGCAAUAAGUAUGUGAGUUCUUUAUGACUAAUGUUGAGUCAUGGAUUAUACACACUCUCACUUUUCCGCCAUUGCUAGCCUCUCUUGUAUUGCGCAACUUUCGCCAGUACCAUAAACCCACCAUAUACCUUCCACAAAACAGCCACCAUACCUACCUAUUAUGGCAUUUCCAUAGCCAUUCCGAGAUAUAUUGCCAUGCAACUUUCCACCAUUCCGUUUAUUAUGACACACAUCAUCAUUGUCAUAUUGCUAUGCAUGAUCAUGUAGUUGACAUCGUAUUUGUGGCAAAGCCACCGUUCAUCAUAUCUUUUAUACAUGUCGCUCUUGAUUCAUUGCACAUCCCAGUACACUGCCGGAGGCAUUCAUGUAGAGUCAUAGUUUUGUUCUAGUAUCGAGUUGUAAUAUUUGAGUUGUAAGUAAAUAGACGUGUGAUGAUCGUCAUUAUUAGAGCAUUGUUCCAUGUGAGGAAAUAAAAAAAGGAGAGGAAUGGGAAAAAAGAGAAGGCCCAAAAAAGAGAAAAAAAGAAAAAGAGAAAAUAAGAGAAAAAGAGAGAAGGGACAAUGUUACUAUCAUUUUUGUCACACUUGUGCUUCAAAGUAGCACCAUGAUCUUCAUGAUAGAGAGUCUCCUAUAUUGUCAUUUUCUUAUACUAGUGGGAAUUUUUCAUUAUAGAACUUGGCUUGUAUAUUCCAACAAUGGGCUACCUCAAAAUGCCCUAGGUCUUCAUGAGUAAGAAAGUUGGAUGCACACCCACUUAGUUUUGUUUUUGAGCUUUCAUAAACUUAUAGCUCUAGUGCAUCUGUUGCAUGGCAAUCCCUACUCACUCACAUUGAUAUCUAUUGAUGGGCGUCUCCAUAGCCCGUUGAUAUGCCUAGUUGAUGUGAGACUAUCUCCUUCUUUUUGUCUUCUCCACAACCACCGUAUAUUUCACCUAUAGUGCUAUGUCCAUGGCUCACGCUCAUGUAUUGCAUGAAAGUUGAAAAGGUUUGAGAACAUCAAAAGUAUGAAACAAUUGCUUGGCUUGUCAUCGGGGCAGUGCAUGAUUUGAAUAUUUUGUGUGAUGGAGAUGGAGCAUAGCCAGACUAUAUGAUUUUUUAGGGAUAAGAUUUCUUUGGCCAUGUUAUUUUGAGAAGACAUAAUUAUUUUGUUAGUAUGCUUGAACUAUUACUGUUUUUAUGUCAAUAUUAAACUUUUUUUGAAUCAUACGGAUCUGAACAUUCAUGCCACAAUAAAGAGAAUUACAUGGAUAAAUAUGUUAGGUAGCAUUCCACAUCAAAAAUUCUAUUUUUUAUCAUUUACCUACUCGAGGACGAGCAGUAAUUAAGCUUGGGGAUGCCCGAUAUGUCUCCAACGUAUCUGUAAUUUUUUAUUAUUCCAUGUUAUUAUAUUAUCUGUUUUGGAUGUUUUAUAUGCUUUAAUAUGCUAUUUUAUAUGAUUUUUGGGACUAACCUAUUAACCUAGAGCCCAGUGCCAGUUUCUGUUUUUUCCUUGUUUUAGAGUUUUGCAAAAAAGGAAUACCAAACAGUGUCCAAAUGAAAUGAAACUUUCGCGAUGAUUUUUCUUGGACCAGAAGACACCCAUGAGACUUGAAGUGCAAGUUAGAAGAGCCAUGAGGCCGCCACAAGGGUGGAGGGCGUGCCUAGGGGGUAGGGCGCGCCCCCCGACCUUGUGGGCCCCUCGGUGACCCCCUAACCUAGAUCUUCCUCCUAUAUAUUCUCAAAUAUCCCCAAAACUUCCAAGGGAGCCACGAAACCACUUUUCCAACGUCGUAACCUUCUGUACCUGUGAUAUCCCAUCUAGGGGCCUUUUCUGGCAUCCUGCCAGAGGGGGAUUCGAUCACGGAGGGCUUCUACAUCAACACCAUUGCCUCUCUGAUGAAGCGUGAGUAGUUUACCACAGACCUAUGGGUCCAUAGCUAGUAGCUAGAUGGCUUCUUCUCUCUCUUUGAUUCCCAAUACCAUGUUCUCCAUGUUCUCCUCGAUGUUCUUGGAGAUCUAUUCGAUGUAAUUCUCUUUUGCGGUGUGUUUGCCUAGAUCCGAUGAAUUGCGGGUUUAUGAUCAAUUUAUCUAUGAAUAUUAUUUGAAUCUCCUCUGAAUUCUUAUAUGCAUGAUUUGAUAUCUUUGCAAGUAUCUUCGAACUAUCGAUUUGGUUUGGCCAACUAGAUUGGUUUUUCUUGCAAUGGGAGAAGUGCUUAGCUUUGGGUUAAAUCUUGCGGUGCUCGAUCCUAGUGACAGAAGGGGAACCAACACGUAUGGUAUUGUUGCCAUCGAGGAUAACAAGAUGGGGUUUUCAUCAUAUUGCUUGAGUUAAUUCCGCUACAUCAUGGCAUCUUACUUAAUACGUUACUCUGUUCUUAUGAACUUAAUACUCUAGAUGCAGGCAGGAGUCGGUCGAUGUGUGGAGUAAUAGUAGUAGAUGCAGAAUCGUUUCGGUCUACUUAACACGGACAUGAUGACUAUAUUCAUGAUCAUUGCCUUAGAUAUCGUCAUAACUUUGCGCUUUUCUAUCAAUUGUUCGGCAAUAAUUUGUUCACCCACCAUAUUAUUUUCUACCUUGAGAGAAUCCUCUAGUGAAACCUAUGGCCCCCGGGUCUAUUUUCCAUCAUAUAAUCUUCUAUUUUCCAUCAUAUAAGUUUCCGAUCUGUAAUUCUAGUUUCCUAUUUACUUCCUUUGCAAUCUUUUACUUUCCGUUCCAUAAACCAAAAAUACCAAAAAUAUUACUUUACCGUUUAGCCAUCUAUAUCAGAUCUCACUUUGCAAAUAACUGUGAAGGGAUUGACAACCCCUUUGUCGCGUUGGGUGCAAGUUGGUGUUUCUUUGUGCAGGUAUUCGGUGGCUUGUUGCAUUGUCUCCUACAGGAUUGAUACUUUGGUUCUCAAAAACUAAGGAAAUACUUACUCUACUUUGUUGCAUCACCCUUUCGUCUUCAAGGAAAAAACCAACGCAAGCUCAAGAGGUAGCACCUGCUCACCUCGCCCGCUACCACCGGGGGUGUUGGAUGCAGCAAUUUCUUGGAGGACCGAGAGGCGAGGGAGCACAACGUGGUGGAGGCCACUGACGAGGAGUACAUGGUGGACCUCGACCGCUACUACCCUGAGCCCGUGCAGGCUGAGCGGGCGAACUUCGUGGAGCAGGCAGUCGAUGGGGAGGGCAUCGUCUUCUCUGAUGACGAGGUGCAAGGAGGUGACGAAGGCGGCAACGAGAAUAAGGAAUUCGGCAUCGAGGAGUGGCGGCGGAUCUUACCCAACUCUGAUGAUGGCACUAGCCCGAAUUCAAUGAGCAGUGGAAUGUCGAGGCAAGAUUUGCUCGACCUCUAUCAUGGCGAUUUUGAUGAUGAUGAUGAUGAUGAUGACGAUGAGUAGUUUAGAUUACUUUUAAGUUUAAGUUUAGGUUUAGGUUAUUUAAAUAGAAUUUUGGUUGUCCCAUGGGAUGCCAAGACAAAUCUGUUGAAUUUCAGUUGUUUCAAUCGAAUCUAGUUUUGACUUAUGGAAAUUUGGUUUUUUACUCUGUUAAAUUUCAGAGUUCGGCUAGGUCCAACCAAAACUUAAGGGAGUAAAAUACUCCAGUAAGGGUUUACUUCGCCGGAUCAUGCGUUAUUUUUAAACUAUCAGUUAGAAAUGCCCUUAGGAUACAAAUAUCCCACUAUUUAUUUAUACUAGUCGUGAACCCGUGCAAAUGCACGGGCUAGUACGAUAACGCAUUUACAUUUUUUUAAAAUGUAGGUAGUAAGACAUUAUGAUUUAAAAACAUUUACAAAAAAUGUGAAGUUUAACCUAAGAGGUUGUUCUUAACGGAUUGAACCUUUGCAUUAUAAGGCAAACUUACUAUAGCGAGAUUCACCGAUUAGGUUCUCAUUACGAUUUAGAAUCCAUAUCAAAUAUUUGAAUUGCUUAAGUCUUAUUGAAACCAUAGAUUUCCCUACUCACAAAUGUGAACCCAUCAUAAUGAAUUAAUUAUCACAUACCUGAAACAACAGUUGAUGGCAUUUAGAACCCAAAGGCUAUCCUUAUGGUUUAAUAUUCAUACCUAAUAUCUCAAACUUCCUUGAUUGUUCUGGAAAGUGUGGCUUAGGUGUCAAUUAAAUAUGAAUCAAUGAUUACAAAAGGAACUUAUCAUAUAUUAGCUUAUGAUCCAUGGGUGCUCCUGUUGCCAGAAAACAUGAAGUGCUCGAACUCAAAGCUGAAAACCCCAUUCAUUUGAGAACUCAACUAAAAGCAAAGGUGCAUGGAGAGCAAGGGGGUUCACAGAUAUCCAGACAUAGUAUGGUGGGGAUAGAUGAACCAACAGUGUGACAAAAAACACAUUGUAAAUUAUAAAUUUUAAUUGGGUGCCCAAAGAAUUAGUACCAAAAUCCCGUAAGGUCGUGGAUGCUAGGAAUGAGCCUCCUAUAAGUAAGGACAGAAGGUUUAGAGCUGAACAAUAUCUUUCCAUAGAAAAAUGAUAUGAAGCACAAAAAGGACAAUUAUGUGAAUGAGAUGACAUAUUAUCUGUUAUGAGCCUACUAAUAUCAUAGUUGAGCAGCAAAAAAAAGGAGAUGUGCUCUUUUAUAUUAAGCUAAAUAGUGAAAUUUCUUUGCAUCAUUAUGCGUUACUAUGUAAAAAGUAGAAAAAAUGAGAUUAAGAGUCAAUGUAUAUACCUGAAUUGAAUAGAAACUAUCAUGAUCACUUACCCUAUCGAAUUGUGAACAAACUGCUGGAUUUAUUUACCAACAACAGCAAGUAAAAUGAGCACUAUUCUGGUGGAGCAACUCUAAGAAAAUAUCUAAAUAAAUCUCAGCAAUCGAAAAUAUUUAGCAUGCAUGAUCGUUCACAGCCUAUCUGCAAGCAAUGCACUCAAACUCAAAAUUAACAAAAGCUAUUGGAAAUUUUACAUAUAAGUUAUAGGAUUGUAGGCAACAAAUACUAACCCACAUGUACUAUGAAUCUUCCCUCAACAUUUCAGGUCUGGCCAGUAAAACCAAGAACGAAUUAUACACUCUAUUUCAUAUUGUUCUGAAAAGUAUAGGAAGUCGUUGUACGCUACAUGACAUAAGCAUAUUGUUUUAUUCAGAGUCUAGGCAUCAUAUAUUCAUUUAAUUGUGAGACAAUGAUAAGAUAUCCAUUGUAGAUAAUCCGAGUUUAAGAAUGUAUCUGGGAUAAAUAGCAUACAUGAUUAAAAUCAUUUACAUCAAAAACAUAACUAAUCCUGUUAACUGACAUGGUGGGACAUGGAAAAGGAUAUAUAGCUUGAGCCUCAAAUAUGCAUCAAAGAAGCUGGUCUGUGUUUCAUUGUUGAAGUUCCUAACACAACUCUAUUGUAGAGAUUCAGCACUGUGUGGAUUGCUGAUAUAGAGCAUCAAGCUGAUUCUUAGUACAAAUUAUGAUGACAUUGGAAUGACCUGUAACACUUGAUAACCAUAUAUAGAAGAAAAAACAUCAGUUGGGCUAAUUGAAACAAAAGGCUUGCCUGGAAAAUUUAAGACUUCUUGUUAACACUUGUUAACCUGAUAAAAAAUGCACCAUUGAAAGUCAUAAUCAAACUUCAUUAUGUUACCAAGAUAACAAUUCUUUUUGGAUGCUGAUAAGAAAUGCACUGUUUUUCCUGCGAACAGUUGGCUCUUAUGCAGGAAACGAACUACUGAACUAACAAAAAGUAGAUUGUAGAUCAUCCAGAGUUCAGUGGCCCAACAGAUAGAGGAUGACUUUCGUUGGCAAUUGUUUAGGUGGUGGAAAAACGAAUUUUUGUUAAUCUAACCUCCCAUUGAUCCGGAUAGAUUAUAGAUUUGUUAGAGUCUGUAUUCUACACACAUAAAUGAGAUCAAUGGCCGGCAACUGGAUUUUCUAUUUUCUUUAAACCACAGUUUGUUAGUUGUUGCCUGCUUCAGUGCUUUGCCACAUAGUACAAUGUUUUAGACUCCAUCACCUUAACUAAUUAAGUAAUAUCAUAUAGUGUGGGCAGUAGAUGCAGCAUGACAGUAAAGAAUUUGUGCAUGGAAUGCACUAAUUUUGAGUAGCCACACUUAUACAUCAGCUCACCAAAUAUCAGCAUAUUUAUUAUCGCCAUAGUGAACUCUAAAGCUAUUUCCUGUAGUCUUCAAAAGGAAAUGUUGUUUUUUGCUUGAGGUCAGAUGAUUAAUUUCAGGAUAAACUGCUAUUUCUUUUUUUAGAAAAGGAGGAUGCACCCCCGGCCUCUGCAUCUCGACGAUGCAUACGGCCACUUUAUUAAUUAUUAAGCACAAAAGACCUUACAAAGUAGUACAUUAGUGAGCCUGAAGCCACCAUCUAGGCAACAUCUGUCGCUACUCCUAUCCCCUUGGUGCAGUGGUGCCGAAUGUCCGAGCCUAAUACCAAACAGACAUCGCACCAAAUCCUAACAUCUAAUGCCGGAUGCCCCAUCCUAGCCACAUACCGGGACUGGGUCACACACCGGUCCGGCGCACUCAACGAGGCUGCCACCGCCUUCUUCCAUCGAUCCAUCUCCAGAGCAGGCACUGACGCACAGACCUUGCCAGGCCUGCCGUCGACGCCACCAUGGCGCCAGACAGCUCGACCACCCUGCGCUCGUCCAUCCAGCCGCAUCCGUCAUCGAAAUGCAGCUACACCAUGCCGCCAACACUCGUCGCCAAUGACGCGGUAGAUACAACGCCGCACCACCUAGCAACCUCCGCACCAUCGCCACUGCUGGAGCUACUCGGAGCCCACCAUCCACAACAUCUCUCUCCCGAACAACUCCUCCCAAGAUGGCGCCUCCAUGGAGGAUAAGACGCGCAGGACGCCGCUGCCGCCCAAUCCAGACUGAAUUUUGGACUUCCGUCCGGGAGGGGUUCAGGAGUGGAUAGGGGGGACCUCGGCUUCGCCUCCAGGAAGGGGAACGGCGUCAAGUGACGUCGCUGAUGCCGGGCCGAACACGCCGACCAAAGUUUCCUCCGGUCCCCAUCCUAUGCCACCAAACCUCUGUGUACUCCGGAUCCGGCAAGCCACGAUCCGAAACCCGCGAAGAUGAAAGAGCCAUGGGGCUCAACCCACCAGAAAGGAGGAUCGAGAAGAACUCCUCGUAGAUCUCCAGACGCCGAAUCCAAUGAUCCGACGUGGCCAGCGACGAUCAUCACCACCCCGCGGUGGCCGACGGAGUCCGAAGAUAGGAUCCAGAUGGAUCCGAUCUGGAUCCGGCGGCACCCGCGACCACCGGUCAGGCCAACGCAGCCACCACCUCACGACACGCAGGUCGCCACCGCCACUCUGCGCACGACGCCGAUGGGAGACCCGCCCACCGCGCCGCCGGACCCCACGUUCGCCCGGCGUUCCUCUGGAUCCCGCUGUCCCGCGCCAGCCAAGACGGAGAGGAUAGAGAGAAGCCCCGCCGCCGCCCAGCCGGCCAGGCUUCGCCCGGCGGCGCUGUGGACGGCGGCGAGGAGGGAGAGAGGAGGAGGAGACUCGAGGGGCGGCGGCUAGGGUUUUCCCCCGGGUCGCCCGCGGGGGCGACGCGAGGGGCGAGGGGCUGAAUCUGGUGGCUCACCAACUGCUAUUUCUUGCUGCCAAAAAAUUCAACUCAAUGCGGUAGUUUGCCAUAUGAAGCAAUAGGAGACAUACCAUGGAAACUCAACAUGCAGCAAAGGCAGCAUCUUUGGCGAGGUGGUCAAACCGUCAAACCCUGCGAGCUGCAGCAAUGUGGAGCAUCCUAACUGCCGCCACAAUUUGAGUAAAACGGUCAAUCUGCUUGUUGCUAUACAUAGGUCGUAACUUCGGCAAGCAUGCCUGAUGGCUAGAUCCUGCAGAUGCCGCGUCAACAUAUGACCAACAUCGGGGACACCACUACAUGAAUAGAGAUCAUUGCGCUGAUCUUCAUCAUGGCCGUUUGCACAUGAUGCAUGUGAGUCCGAGUGCAGAGAGCUAAUCAACCUUGUUUGGACCAGGAGUGCUCGGAAAUUAACUGAAGAUGUCCCAGAGGAUGGGAUACAGCUUGUUCAAAAAUAGGGUGCAGCCCUGCGGAUGCUCCUUUAGAAAUUAUGAAGACUUCUUCAUGCCUCCCUAUAACAAACUGCGUGUGUAUAUGUUAUCUUCUCCCAACAUGCUAUGUGUCCAUCGGGAGAAGCGUCACCUUGCUGAGAGUUCACCUCCUUCCUUUGCCUCAAAUCCAACUGGGCUGAAAUUCCAUCUGAAUAUAUGAAAACUCCUCAUCAUAUUUUCUGCCAGUGUCAGCUAUAAGAAUCUGAAUAUCUCAACUGUGAUGGAUAGAUAACAUGUAUUACUAAAAACAAAGUAGGACAUCAUGGAUUCAAUGAUUACAAUUGCAGUAAAUUUUAUUAUGGACAUUUUGUAUAAAAGAUCAUAUAUCUAUGUCUGUUGCCAAAUACAACAAAUGAACCUUUUAAACAGUGACAUGUAUAACUCGAUAUGCCAUCAUCUAUCUAAAUUUUUGCAGAUGCAACAGUACUAAAAUCUCACAAAUCCACAAAAACAUAUAUUAUACACUAUUAGACAUGAUUUGAGAAAUCCAGGAUGUUCCUAAUAUAUUAAGUGUCAAAAGUACAUGAAAAUAUUUUAUGCCCAGGCAACAUACUUUUGUCUUAAUCUUGGACAUAACAAAUUAUUUGUUAAACAUGCAGAUAAUCUGAGAUUUAUCACAUAUUAGAAUAAAAUAUAUACAACGUCUAAAUCACUUAUGAAAAAUAAACAGGCUGACAGUGGUCAAUUUUCUAGAUGUAGAGAACGCUACUUUCCUAGCUUGCUAUAGGUGGCUAAGAAUGUGAUUCAGAUCCCCUCAGCUGGCCGGUUCUCAUUCUCUUUCACUCCCUAGAAUGCAUAACCUGGUCACGACUUAUGCACUGCAUGUACAAAAUCAAAAAAGAAAAUCUCGAUGAGACGUCAUGGACCUACCAAAUUUACUGCACGCGCAUGGAAAAAUUCAUCAGGGUGGAGAACAGAGGGGAGAAUUAACGAUGCAAGGUUACUUGCCUGCGGUACAUGAAUUGAUGCAUGAACUCAAAUAGGGUGUGGGAUGUGAUCCGCCGUCUUGCCGGUUCAUUGCCAAAAUAUACCGAUCUGUUUCCUCCGUCACCAAGUUACCUAGAAGUUCCAACAACGGCGCUGGAGUAAGUCAAUCCGGUCUGUCGAGAUAGAGAGUCGUUCAGAUCCCAUCGAAAUAUUUUUACCUGAAUCAUAUAUUGCCACGGAUCAGCAGAUACAGGGCGGUGUGGUCAGAUCNNNNNNNNNNNNNNNNNNNNNNNNNNNNNNNNNNNNNNNNNNNNNNNNNNNNNNNNNNNNNNNNNNNNNNNNNNNNNNNNNNNNNNNNNNNNNNNNNNNNNNNNNNNNNNNNNNNNNNNNNNNNNNNNNNNNNNNNNNNNNNNNNNNNNNNNNNNNNNNNNNNNNNNNNNNNNNNNNNNNNNNNNNNNNNNNNNNNNNNNNNAGGGCCUGGAGCCAAACAUCAAUGUGUCCUCGGUCCUCCUCACGAAACCUGCCCCGCCCAGAGCACCGUGUCAUCCCUAGAGCAUUUGAGGUAGCCCCCAGAGAGGGGUUCUCCCCUCGGAACACCACCGCAUUCCUCCGCUUCCAGUGAUGCGAGAGGCAGAGGAGGAGGAAGGCAGUCGGGGAUGCCUCCCCAACGGCUGCCUGGACGUCGAAGAGAUGGAGGUCGUGGACCCUCCCGGCACACGGGUCGAUGCCGAUGCAGUGCUACCCCGCACUCGAAGAAGAGAUGGUCGGCCGUUUCCCGGGCGACCAGGCAGCACGGGCAGCCAGCCCCUUGGACGCCGACGAUAGUUUUCCGAAGAAGGACGUCCCGGGUGUGGAUCCUGGCCAGAGAGAGCAGCCAGGCGAAGAACUUCACACGGGACGGGGCAGCCGAACACCACAGAAAUCCAGCGGCCGGCGACGAGACGCCGCCAUAGUGCAGCAGGGCGUACGCCGAUCGCGAGGAGAAGGCACCAUGGGGGGCGCCACAGAGGACGGCUGGACCCCCAUCCGGAGCGGGCGUCGCAGGGCAGUCACGCAGCAACAUCAGCACAUCGUCCAGCUCACGGGCCGCGACGCGGGUCAGAUGCGGGACUAUGAGCCGGCAGUCCCCUCCGCCGCACUUGGGCGGCCGUGGCCUCGGGCAGGGAGGCGUGAGAGAAUAAGGCCGGGUAGGCGCGGCACAGGGGUCCGUGGCGGCAGCCAGUCGUCGUGCUAGAAGGAGGUAUUGCCCCCCGCCCCCACGGAAAACCUGGUGAGCCCCCGAUAGAGGGGAAGGAGCACCAGCAAUUCCGCCCAAUGCGGUCCUCUGGCCGUGGCCGCUCUGGCAUCGAGCAACGAGCUCCCAUGGUGAUCCGCCUAGAGCCACCGCGCCCACCGAGCGGGGGCCAUAGCAUGGACACGAUGCGGCAGCUUGAGUUGAGAUAUCUCGCACCCCCAGCCCGCCCUCCGCCUUCGCCCGGCAAACUCGGGUACAAGCAACCAAGCAUUGCGCACCCGAGGCAUGGUCCGCCAUGUUCCAGAGGAAGGAGCGGCAGAGAGAGUCGAGCACAUCCAUGACCUUGGGCGGGAGACGCAGGGCGGACAUGGAGUAGGACGGGAUGGCGUCGAGGACGACGUUGAUCAGCACGAGCCUCCCCAAGGGAGAGAGCAGGCGGGAACGCCACCCAUCUAGGUAGCGGUCCACCUUAGUGAUCAUGGGGGCAAAGUCAGAGAGCUUGAGCUUGUCGACGGACAGCGGAAGCCUGAGGUAGGUCUGGGGGAAACCUCCAACCGUGCAUUGGAUGGUGGCCACCACCCCUGCGAGCGUCGCGGAGUCCAUGUGGAUGGGGACGAGAGUGCUCUUGUGGUAGUUGAAGGAGAGGCCGCAGCAGCGAACAGGUCGAGGAUGGUNNNNNNNNNNNNNNNNNNNNNNNNNNNNNNNNNNNNNNNNNNNNNNNNNNNNNNNNNNNNNNNNNNNNNNNNNNNNNNNNNNNNNNNNNNNNNNNNNNNNNNNNNNNNNNNNNNNNNNNNNNNNNNNNNNNNNNNNNNNNNNNNNNNNNNNNNNNNNNNNNNNNNNNNNNNNNNNNNNNNNNNNNNNNNNNNNNNNNNNNNNNNNNGGUCGGCACACAUGACGAUGAGGGUGUCGUCGGCGUACUAAAGCACUAGUGGGGGCUCGCUGUCCACCAGCGGGUGCAUGAGGACGUCAUCUUGUCGGAUCAUGCGUUGGACGACGUCGGCCACCAGGAGGAAGAGGUAGGGGAGAUCGGGUCCCCCUGGCGCAGCCUGCACAGGACCGCAAACCACUGCCCUGGCACGCCGUUGAGGAGGACGGCCGAACGAGAGGACUGGAAGAUGGCGUCCAUCGAGUCGCACCACAGCUCGGGGAAGCGACGAGCCCACCUGAUCCGAUGGAGGAUCCCCCAGUCAAUGGAGUCGAAGGCCUUUGCAAAGUCGAGCUUGAGGACGAGUGUUGGGGAAGAUUGCCAGUGGCAGCAUUGUACAAGCUCAGCGGCGUACGCAAAGUUUUCUGCGAUGCUGCGACCGGCCAGGUAGCCGGACUGGUCCUCGUCGAUGAGGCCCCCGGUCUGGCGCUGCAGGCGAGUCGUGAGACCAGGCAGAGAAUUUUCACAUUGCCGUUCUGUAAGCAGACGGGACGGAAAUCGCCGGGGCUGGGCACCCCCUCCUUCUUGGGCAGGAGGGCAAUGUAGGCCCUGUUGAUCCCGUCGAGGCAGACCGUCCGAGCGUGCAGCCCGUCGAACAGGGCCUGCAGGUCGCCCUCGACAGCCGGCCAGGAUGCCUGGUAGAAGGCGGGGCCGAACCUGCCGGGGCCCGGCGCACUGCCCUCGUCCAGCUUCGACACUGCAGCUUUGAUCUCAGCACGGUCGAACGAGACGACGAGCGCGCCCCCGUCCACCUGGGGGAGUUGGCAUAUAGUAGGUCGAGGUCGAACCCCCAGGAAGCGGAGUUGUGCUGACCCAGCAGCGUGGCGUAGAAGCAGCACAACGCCUCCCCUAUGCCACUGUGCGACACGACGUCAUCGCCGUCGACCGAGAGUGCGCGGAUUGCGUUCCCGCGCCUACGCUGAGACGCCAGGGCGUGGAAAUACCGGGUAUUCUCGUCGACAAACCGCACCGCCUUGCACUUCCCGCGUUGCCUCCAGAAGACGCAUUGGCGACGAAUCGAGGCCGCUAGGCAGAUACAAGCAUCCGCACGCAGUAGAUCUUCAUCUGGGGACAGAGAACGAAACUCCUCCAAGAAAUCAAACAGGUUAAUAACAAAUUUGUAGUCGUUGUCGGCUGCGGGAAUGAAUUUGUGUUGCCGUUUCCAGACCUUGGCCGCUGCCCUAGCCGCUUUUUUCUUGGACGCUAAGCUACCCGUCACGCCGCAUUGUCCUCCAGCGCGAGCCCGGGAGGGAAGGAUCAAAGGAAGGAAGAGUGGGACGACGAGCCAAGAGCGCUCGAAGAAGAACCUGGAGGAGGCCGGGAUGCGAGUAGAGGCCACGACCACUAGGGGGAAGUGGUUAGAGGUGGUGCGGGGACGGGAGCACAGCGAGGAGUCGGGGAAGGCCACGUCCCAUUCAUCGUUAAAGAAAACCCGAUCGAGCCGAGUCAAGGUAGGGGGGAGCGUUUGUUCGACCACGUAAAUAGACGGUCCGAAAGAGGGAGUUCGAACCACGAGAGUGAAUUGAUCAAGCCAUUGAAGACGGCCGCUCGGGGGGCAUUGAAGUUGGAGUUGUUCUUCUCAUGGGGGAAGCGGAUCAGGUUGAAAUCCCCCAAGAUCAGCCGAGGACCGGUGAUGGAUGCGGCGACCGUAGAGAGGUCGGCGACAAGAUCAGAAGUCCGCCGUGAUCGCAAGGGGCGUUGAUAACCCACAAGUAUAGGGGAUCGCAACAGUUUUCGAUAAGUAAGAGUGUCGAACCCAACGAGGAGCUAAAGAUAGAACAAAUAUUCCCUCAAGUUCUAUCGACCACCGAUACAACUCUACGCACGCUUGACGUUCGCUUUACCUAGAACAAGUAUGAAGCUAGAAGUACUUUGUAGGUGUUGUUGGAUAGGUUUGCAAGAUAAUAAAGAUUACGUAAAUAAAAAGUAGGGGCUGUUUAAGUAAAGACACAAUAAAGUAAAUAUAGCAAAUGUGGAAAAGUGGUGGUAGGAGUUGCGAAAUUGCCCCUAAGCAAUUAACUACUUUACUAGACCAAUAGCAAGUAUUAUGUGGGAGACGCCACUGCUAGCAUGUCAUCCCUGACUUGGAAUUCUAUGCACUUAUGAUUGGAACUAUUAGCAAGUGUCCGCAACUACUAACGUUCAUUAAGGUAAAACUCAACCAUAGCCUUAAGAUAUAUUGGUCCCCCUUCAAUCCCGUAUGCAUCAAUUUCUAUGCUAGGUUGAAGCUUCUGUCACUCUAGCCCUCCAAUACAUAGUCCUAUCAACAUACAACUAACCCUAGGGUGUGAUCCAUGCGUGCGCUCAUAUGAUGGGCACCAAAGGACAGCAACAUAACCACAAGAAAAUUAAAUCAAUCAUAGCAAUUCAUCAACCACCGAUAGAACAACGAAAAUCUACUCAGACAUCAUAGGAGGGCAACACAUCAUUGGAUAAUAAUAUGAAGCAUAAAGCACCAUGUCCUAGUAGAGGGUACAGCGGGUUGCGGUAGAGUGGACCACUGUAGAUAGAGGGGGGGAGGUGAUGGAGAUGUUGGUGAAGAGGGCAAAGGUGUUGGUGAAGAUCGCGGUGACGAUGAUGGCCCCCGGCGGCGUUCCGGCGCCACCGGAAGCGAGGNNNNNNNNNNNNNNNNNNNNNNNNNNNNNNNNNNNNNNNNNNNNNNNNNNNNNNNNNNNNNNNNNNNNNNNNNNNNNNNNNNNNNNNNNNNNNNNNNNNNNNNNNNNNNNNNNNNNNNNNNNNNNNNNNNNNNNNNNNNNNNNNNNNNNNNNNNNNNNNNNNNNNNNNNNNNNNNNNNNNNNNNNNNNNNNNNNNNNNNNNNNNNNNNNNNNNNNNNNNNNNNNNNNNNNNNNNNNNNNNNNNNNNNNNACCUUCUCCCUAGUUGGGAGAAGGGUUUUCCCUCUGGUCCAUGGUCUCCAUGGCAUGGGAGGGGCGAGAGCCCCUCCGAGAUUGGAUAUGUCUCUCUGUCUUUCUCUGUUUCUGCAUUCUGUGCUGCUGCCCUUUCACCGUUUCGUAUAUAUAUGGAGCUCCGUAACUUCGAUUGGACCGAAACCUUCGCCGUGAUUUUUUACCAAAAAUUAGCUUUCUUGCAGCCGAAGAAGGGCAUCAACGGGGGUCAGGGGCGCGCCCAGGGGGUGGGGCGCGUGCACCUCGAACACCGUUUCACGUUGAUCUUUCUCCCAGAUUUUCCAAAUAUUCCAAAAAUAAGCUUCGUCCAUUUUUAUCCCAUUUGGACUCCGUUUGAUAUGGAUAUUCUGCGAAACAUAAAACAUGCAACAAACAGGAACUGACACUAUGCACUGGAUCAAUAUGUUAGUCCCAAAAAUAAUAUAAAAAGUUGCCGAAAGUAUAUGAAAGUUGUAGAAUAUUGGCAUGGAACAAUAAAAAAUUAUAGAUAUGACAGAGACGUAUCAGCAUCCCCAAGCUUAAUUCCUGCUCAUCCUCGAGUAGGUAAAUGAUAAAAAAGAUAAUUUUUGAUGUGGAUUGCUACCUAGCAUAAUCUUGAUCACAUAUCUAAUCAUGGCCUGAAUACUAAGACACGAGUGAUUCAAAGCAAUAGUCUAUCAUUUGACAUAAAAACAAUAAUACUUCAAGCCCACUAAUAAAGUAAUCAUGUCUUUUCAAAAUAACAAGGCCAAAGAAAGUUAUCCUUACAAAAUCAUAUAGUCUGGCUAUGCUCCAUCUUCACCACACAAAAUAUACACAUCAUGCACAACCCCGAUGACAAGCCGAGUAAUUGGUUCAUACUUUUUAACGCGCUUCAGCAUUUUCAACCCUCACACAAAACAUGAGCAUGAGCCAUGGAUAUAGCACUAUAUGUGGAAUAGAAUGGUGGUUGUGGAGAAGACAAAAAAGGAAAAUAUAGUCUCACAUCAACUAGGCGUAUCAAUGGGCUAUGGAGAUGCCCAUCAAUAGAUAUCAAUGUGAGGGAGUAGGGAUUGCCAUGCAACGGAUGCAAUAGAGCUAUAAGUAUAUGAAAGCUCAAACUGAAACUAAGUGGGUGUGCGUCCAACUUGCUUUCUCAUGAAGACCUAGGGCAUUUGAGGAAGCCCAUCAUUGGAAUAUACAAGCCAAGUUCUAUAAUGAAAAUUCCCACUAGUAUAUGAAAGUGAUAACUCAAGAGACUCUCUAUAUGAAGAACAUGGUGCUACUUUGAAGCACAAGCGUGGUAAAAGGAUAGUAACAUUGCCCCCUUUUCUUUUUUUUCUUUUUUUUAGUUUUUUUCUCUUUGUGGGCUUCUUUGGCCCCCCUUUUUUUAUUUAGGCUUCUUUGUCCUCUCUUUUUUCUUGGGGCAAUGCUCUAAUAAUGAUGAUCAUCACACUUUUAUUUACUUACAACUCAAUAUUACAACUCGAUAUCUAGAACAAAGAUAUGACUCUAUAUGAAUGCCUCCGGCAGUGUACCGGGAUGUGCAAUGAUCUGGCGUAGCAAUGACAUCAAAAAACGGACAAGCCAUGAAAACAUCAUGCUAGCUAUCUUACGAUCAUGCAAAGCAAUAUGCCAAUGAAUGCACAAGUCACGUAUAUGAUGAUGAAGAAAGUUGCAUGACAAUAUAUCUCGGAAUGGCUAUGGAAAUGCCAUGAUAGGUAGGUAUGGUGGCUGUUUUAAGGAAGGUAUAUGGUGGGUUUGUGGUACCGGCGAAAGUUGCGCGAUACUAGAGAGGCUAGCAAUGAUGGAAGGGUGAGAGUGUGUAUAAUCCAUGGACUCAACAUUAGUCAUAACGAACUCACAUACUUAUCGCAAAAGUUUAUUAGCCCUCGAAGCAAAGUACUACUACGCAUGCCCCUAGGAGGAUAGAUUGGUAGGAAAAGACCAUCGCUUGUCCCCGACCGCCACUCAUAAAGAAGACAAUCAAUAAAUACCUGAUGCUCCGACUUCUUUACAUAAUGGUUCACCAUACGUGCAUGCUACGGGAAUCACAAACCUCAACACAAGUAUUUCUACUAAUCCACAACUACCCACUAGCAUGACUCUAAUAUCACCAUCUUUAUAUCGCAAAACUAUUGCAAGGAAUCAAACAUAUCAUAUUCAGUGAUCUACAAGUUUUAUGUAGGAUUUUAUGACUAACCAUGUGAAUGACCAAUUCCUGUCAUCUCUCUAAAUAGAUAUAAGUGAAGCAAGAGAGUUUAAUUCUUUUGUACAAAAGAUGUGCCCACGCUCUAACAAAUAUAAGUGAAGCAAAAGAGCAUUCUACAAAUGCCGGUUUUCUAUGUAAAGGGAAACAGGCAAUCCAAUCUUCAAAUGAUAUAAGUGAAGCACAUGGAGCAUUCUAUAAAGCCAUACUCAAAAGAUAUAAGUGAAGUGCAUAGAAAAUUCUAUAAAUCAACCAAGGACUAUCUCAUACCAGCAUGGUGCAUAAAGAAAAAUGAAAACUAAAUGCAAAAGACGCUCCAAGAUUGCGCAUAUCGCAUGAACGAAACGAAUCCGAAAACAUACUGAUACUUGUUGAAGAAAGAGGGGACGCCUUCCGGGGCAUCCCCAAGCUUAGAUGCUUGAGUCUCCUUGAAUAUUUACUUGGGGUGCCUUGUACAUCCCCGAGCUUGAGCUCUUGCCUCUCUUCCUUCUUGUCACAUCGAGACCUUCUCGAUCAUCGAACACUUCAUCCACACAAAAGUUCAACAGAAAACUCGGUAAGAUCUGUUAGUAUAAUAAAACAAAUCACUACUCUAAGUACUGUUGCAAACCAAUUCAUAUUUUGUUUUUGCAUUGUGUCUACUGUAAUAUAACUUUUUCAUGGCUUAAUCCACCGAUAUAAAUUGAUAGUUUCAUCAAAACAAGCAAACUAUGCAUCAAAAACAGAAUCUGUCUAAAACAGAACGGUCUGUAACAAUCUGAACAUUCACCAUACUUAUGGUACUUGAACAAUUCUACCGAAAUUAGGAAAAAUAAAAAUUUGUAUAGAAAGACAGUUCAAAAAGAAUCAUAACCAUUCGACGUUCCAGUAAAAAAUGUAAAAUCGCGCACUACAGCCAAAGUUUCUGUCAUGCACCGUACAAACCAACAAGCAAAGUAAACAUCCUAAAGGAAAACCUUAGCACAUUAUUUUAAUACAAUGGAAUUGUACAUGGGGAUAAUUAUUUUUGUUGAAAAGUUUCUGUAAUUAAGAUUCACAAAGUUGCCAUGAGCGUGAACAAAGUUCAAGGAGCUCUCCCACUUCAACAAUGCUUGUCUUUCUCACUUUCACUUUCCUUUUUGAAAAAGUUUUGGGUUCCCCUCUUUAUUUUUGUUGUUUUUAAACUAUACGAAAGCACUCAACAGAAAUAAAUGACUCUCUAAAACUUCCGGGCUGUAUCCCUGGCAGCGCUUUCUUUAAAGCCAUUAAGCUAGGCAUAUAGUGCUCAAGUAAUGGAUCCACCUGGAUCCCAAGGUAUAUCAAAGCCAAUUUUAAUUAACAAUGAUUUGUAAUUUAGUAGUGAGCACAAAGUAACAUAUAUAAUGUAAUGUCGAAGUCUAACUCUCUUCCUAUGCAUCAGCAUGUCAUAAAAGAACAAAUCAUGCACACAUAGUAAAGGCCAAAGCAUAGUAUAAACAGGUUCUUGCAAUUUUAUCAUAUUGAAAACAUAGAGAGGUGGAGAUAUAGUUCCUCUCUCAUAAUAAUUGCAAGUAGGAGCAGCAAGCACAUGCCUAUUAUAUUCAUCAAAAUUAUCAUGUGUAAUAGUAAAACGCAACCCAUCAAUAUAAUCCUUAAUAAGUGCAACCUUCUCCGAUAUAGUGUAGUUGGGACAAUUCAAGAAGAUAAUAGGACUAUCAUGUGUGGGUGCAAUAGCAGCAAUUUCAUGUUUAACAUAAGGAACUAUAGCAAGUUCAUUUCCAUAAGCAUAAUUAAUAUUGGCAUCUUGGCCACAAGCAUAGCAAGCAUCAUCAAAAAGGGAUAUUUCAAAAGAAUCAACGGGAUCAUAGCAAUUAUCAUAGCAUUCAUCCUUCGGUAAGCAUGAAGGGGAAUUAAACAAUGUAUGAGUUGAAGAGUUACUCUCAUAAGAAGGUGGGCAUGGGUGAUCAAUCCGCUCUUCCUCCUUUUGUUCUUCGCUCUCCUCCUCACCUUUUUCAUCCAAUGAGCUCACAGUUUCAUCAACUUCUUCUUCCAUAGAUUCCUACAAAAUAUUAGUCUCUUCUUGGACAGCACAGACUUUCUCAAUAAGCGCAUUAAUAUAAGAAUUAUAUACAUAAUUAUCAUAGAAAUAUUUUAGGAUAGAUAAAUUUUCAGGCCUAUAAACAUCAUCAUCAAAAGCUUCAUACUUUUCAAACAAAGAUUCAAUUUCAUAAGCACCCUUAAAAGCAAGAAAUUCUUCUAUUUGUUCCACAUCAUAGUAAUCAUAUAUACCAUUAGCAAAGAAGCUAAGGUUUCGUUAUCAUUAAAUUUGCAUGAAAAAGGAAGGUGUGGAGCCUUCAUCCUAGAGCAACAAGUAUAAUCAUAACUCAAGCAUACUUGCCGAGCAUACCACUUCAAUAGAUAAAUUUGAUCCCAUAAUAGUUUCCCUUUUUGUGUCAAGCAAUAAUCCCUAAAGUAUUCACGUUGAUCCAACGUUACUCCCAUUACCAGAUUGAAUGGGGUUUUCUCAGGAUUAUCGAACUAGUACAUAAUUUCUAUCACAUAACGAGCAUCGACGGUUUUAGGAGGUUCCUCGUCUCCAUGAGUAGCAAGUACACCUAAUUUUUUUGGUAUUUCAUGUUCCAUAUCCAUAACUAAAGAUAACGAACAACUAAGAACAUCAAAUAAAAAUUACUUAGUGAUAAAGCAAACAAGCACACACGAGAAUAUUCACCCCACGCUAUUGCUCCCCGGCAACGGCGCCAGAAAAAGGUCUUGAUAACCCACAACUAUAGGGGAUCGCAACAGUUUUCGUUAAGUAAGAGUGUCGGACCCAACGAGGAGCUAAAGGUAGAACAAAUAUUCCCUCAAGUUCUAUCGACCACCGAUACAACUCUACGCACGCUUGACGUUCGCUUUACCUAGAACAAGUAUGAAGCUAGAAGUACUUUGUAGGUGUUGUUGGAUAGGUUUGCAAGAUAAUAAAGAUUACGUAAAUAAAAAGUAGGGGCUGUUUAAGUAAAGAGAGAAUAAAGUAAAUAUACUGAGUGUGGAAAAGUGGUGGUAGGAGUUGCGAAAUUGCCCCUAAGCAAUUGACUACUUUACUAGACCGAUAGCAAGUAUUAUGUGGGAGAGGCCACUGCUAGCAUGUCAUCCCUGACUUGCAAUUCUAUGCACUUAUGAUUGGAACUAUUAGCAAGCGUCCGCAACUACUAACGUUCAUUAAGGUAAAACCCAAACAUAGCCUUAAGAUAGAUUGGUCCCCAAUGAAUCCCGUAUGCAUCAAUUUCUAUGCUAGGUUGAAGCUUCUGUCACUCUAGCCCUCCAAUACAUAGUCCUAUCAACAUACAACUAACCCUAGGGUGUGAUCCACGUGCGCGCUCAUAUGAUGGGCACCAAAGGACAGCAACAUAACCACAAGAAAAUUAAAUCAAUCAUAGCAAUUCAUCAACCACCGAUAGGACAACGAAAAUCUACUCCGACAUCAUAGGAUGGCAACACAUUAUUGGAUAAUAAUAUGAAGAAUAAACCACCAUGUUCAAGUAGAGGGUACAGCGGGUUGCGGGAGAGUGGACCGCUGUAGAUAGAGGAGGGAGGUGAUGGAGAUGUUGGUGAAGAUGGCAGAGGUGUUGGUGAAGAUCGCAGUGAUGAUGGCCCCUGGCGGCGUUCCGGCGCCACCGAAAGCGAGGGGGAGAGAACCCCCCUCCUUCUUAUUCUUCCUUGACCUUCUCCCUAGAUGGGAGAAGGGUUUCCCCUCUGGUCCAUGGUCUCCAUGGCGUGGGAGGGGCGAGAGCCCCUCCGAGAUUGGAUCUGUCUCUCUGUCUCUCUCUGUUUCUGCGUUAUGUGCUGCUGCCCUUUCACCGUUUCGUAUAUAUAUGAAGAUCCGUAACUCCGAUUGGACCGAAACCUUCGCCGUGAUUUUUUACCAAAAAUUAGCUUUCUUGCGGCCGAAGAAGGGCAUCAACCUCCUUACAGGUGGACCGCGAGGGUAAGGGGCGCGCCCAGGGGGUGGGGCGCGCCCCCCUACCUCAUGCCCACCUCGGACACCGUUUCGCGUUGAUCUUUGUCCCAGAUUUUCCAAAUAUUCCAACAAUAAGCUCCAUCCGUUUUUAUCCCGUUUGGACUCCAUUUGAUAUGGAUAUUCUACGAAACAUAAAACAUGCAACAAACAGGAACUGGCAUAGGGCACUGGAUCAAUAUGUUAGUCCCAAAAAUAAUAUAGAAAGGUGCAAAAUGUAUAUGAAAGUUGUAGAAUAUUGGCACAGAACAAUAAAAAAUUAUAGAUACGAUGGAGAUGUAUCAGGCGUAGACGUUGCUGAUCGAGAAAGCGAGGGCGGAAGCGACAGACUCAAGGACGACGUUAAGGGAGAACUCAUAAGCGAGGGAGGAGACGAGGCAGUAGGAGACGGGGUCCCAGGCAGUGAGGAUGCCACUGUGGCUCUCGUCCGCAUUGAGCGCGGCGUAGAGGGAGAGACGAGAGGGGAGGAAGGACCGAGACUUCCCAGUGCCAACCGAUGCAAGUUUUGUCUCCUGAAGACACGCAACGGAGGGGUCGGCGGCAACAACUGCGUCCCGGACCAGCCCGCACUUGUCCGGGUCGCCUAAGGCUUGCAUGUUCCAGCACACCACAGACAACUUACGAAACGCGGUGUUAUCCAUAACAAGAGGAGUGAUACGUCUCCGACGUAUCUAUAAUUUUUGAUUGCUCCAUGCUAUAUUAUCUACUGUUUUGGACAUUAUUGGGUUUUAUUAACCACUUUUAUAUUAUUUUUGGGACUAACUUAUUAACGGGAGGCCCGGCCCAUAAUUGCUGGUUUUUUUGCCUAUUUUAGGGUUUCGAAGAAAAGGAAUAUCAAACGGAGUCCAAACGGAAUGAAACCUUCGGGAACGUGAUUUUUGGAACGAACAAGAUCCAGGAGACUUGGACCCUACGUCAAGCAACCAACAGGNNNNNNNNNNNNNNNNNNNNNNNNNNNNNNNNNNNNNNNNNNNNNNNNNNNNNNNNNNNNNNNNNNNNNNNNNNNNNNNNNNNNNNNNNNNNNNNNNNNNNNNNNNNNNNNNNNNNNNNNNNNNNNNNNNNNNNNNNNNNNNNNNNNNNNNNNNNNNNNNNNNNNNNNNNNNNNNNNNNNNNNNNNNNNNNNNNNNNNNNNNNNNNNNNNNNNNNNNNNNNNNNNNNNNNNNNNNNNNNNNNNNNNNNNNNNNNNNNNNNNNNNNNNNNNNNNNNNNNNNNNNNNNNNNNNNNNNNNNNCCCCCAGGCGCGCCCUCCACCCUCGUGGGCCCCCUGUUGCUCCACCGACGUACUUCUUCCUCCUAUAUAUACCUACGUACCCCCCAAAUAAUCAGAUAUGGAGCCAAACCCUAAUUCCACCAUCAUAACUUUCUGUAUCCACGAGAUCCCAUCUUGGGGCCUGUUCUGGAGCUCCGCCGGAGGGGGCAUCGAUCACGGAGGGCUUCUACAUCACCACCAUACCCUCUUCGAUGAAGUGUGAGUAGUUUACCUCAGACCUUCGGGUCCAUAGUUAUUAGCUAGAUGGCUUGUUCUAUCUUUUUGGAUCUCAAUACAAAGUUCUCCCCCUCUCUUGUGGAGAUCUAUUCAAUGUAAUCUUCUUUUUGCGGUGUGUUUGUUCAGACCGAUGAAUUGUGGGUUUAUGAUCAAGUUUAUCUAUGAACAAUAUUUGAAUCUUCUCUGAAUUCUUUUAUGUAUGAUUGGUUAUCUUUGCAAGUCUCUUCGAAUUAUCAGUUUGGUUUGGCCUACUAGAUUGAUCUUUCUUGCAAUGGGAGAAGUACUUAGCUUUGGGUUCAAUCUUGUGGUGUCCUUUCCCAGUGACAGUAGGGGCAGCAAGGCACGUAUUGUAUUGUUGCCAUUGAGGAUAACAAGAUGGGGUUUUCAUCAUAUUGCAUGAGUUUAUCCCUCUACAUCAUGUCAUCUUGCUUAAGGCGUUACUCUGUUCUUAUGAACUUAAUACUCUAGAUGCAUGCUAGAUAGAGGUCGAUGUGUGGAGUAAUAGUAGUAGAUGCAGGCAGGAGUCGGUCUACUUGUCUUGGACGUGAUGCCUAUAUACAUGAUCAUACCUAGAUAUUCUCAUAACUAUGCUCAAUUCUGUCAAUUGCUCAACAGUAAUUUGUUCACCCACCGUAAAAUACUUAUGCUCUUGAGAGAAGCCACUAGUGAAACUUGUGGCCCCCGGGUCUAUCUUCAUCAUAUUAAUCUUCCAAUACUUAGUUAUUUUCAUUGCUUUUAUUUUACUUUGCAUCUUAUCAUAAAAAUACCAAAAAUAUUAUCUUAUCAUAUCUACCAGAUCUCACUCUCAUAAGUGACCGUGUAGGGAUUGACAACCCCUUAUCGCAUUGGUUGCGAGGAUUUAUUUGUUUUGUGUAGGUGCGAGGGACUGGCGCGUAGCCUCCUACUGGAUUGAUACCUUGGUUCUCAAAAACUGAGGGAAAUACUUACGCUACUUUGCUGCACCACCCUUUCCUCUUCAAGGGAAAACCAACGGAAGUGCUCAAGAGGUAGCAAGAAGGAUUUCUAGCGCCGUUGCUGGGGAGGUCUAUGCAAAAGUCAACAUACCAAGUACCCAUUACAAACCCUUAUCUCCUGCAUUACAUUAUUUGCCAUUUGCCUCUCAUUUUUGUAUCACCCUCGAUGCGGCUAUAGCUCCCACGUGUCGAGGCACGACUUAGAGACAUAACCGCAUUGAAAGCAAUGUCGCAAGUUAGGCAAUCUUCACAACAUCCCAUGUAAUAUAGAUAAUAAAAGGGGAGAUACAUAGUUGCCUUACACUCGCCACGUCAAUCACAGUACAUAAAUAGCAUUACAACAAUCAAACACUCAUGGCCCGACUACGGCGCCAGAAUGAAAGAUAACCCAAUGUGCAACACGGUCCCGAUCACCCCCAACUGGGCACCACUACUGAUCAUCAGGGAAAGACACAUAGUAUCGGCAUGAGUCCUCGUCGAACUCCCACUUGAGCUCAAGCGCGUCAUCUAGAACGGAGUCAUCAGGCCCUGCAUCUGGUUUGGAAGUAAUCUGUGAGCCACAGGGACUCAGCAAUCUCGCACCCUCCCGAUCAAGACUAUUUAAGCUUAUGGGUAAGGCAAUCAGGUGUUGGGGAUACAGGGGAAGCAAAAUAUCUCACCCAAAUCUAGCAAUUCCUACAUCCAGCUGUAUCCAUCCUUCAACACAUAACCGAGAAAAACUUCGGAAACCAUCUAUCUCAACCUUCGAAAAGCAUCCGUUAUACAAGUUAUGGCGAUACUCCCGAACUCCCGCCCUAGUACUGGGUGGCGUCGAGGUUAUCUCACCAAUGAACUGCAUAAAAGAGAUUUUCGAUGUCGGCGUGCUAAACUCAGGUAUUCCAGAACUGCAACGAUAAAAUUGUGACGACAACACCUCGGAGCUCAACUCCCCGGGACACUGCCACAACCCCUAAAGAUAGGAGGCACCAAGAACAAUGUUCUCGUCACAAAGCCAUCGAAACGAUUCCAAGAUACCCGCGUGAUCCUAAAUUUUUUUUGUGAAAUUUGAGAAGAGAAGAGUCAAAACUCUAUGUUAGGAUGCCUUACCAGAGCGAUGAGGAGACUGGGGAGUAAAAAGAAUUCCUAAACUCUCCGAUAUAUAAUUCCUAAAUGACUCAAAACAUUUUUCGAGACUCAACUCGGCCGCUAAAAACGAUCAAGCAAUGGGGCUCCUAUGGUCGGGGAAGGCUCUGAUUACCAACUUGUAUGACCCUCGAUGCGGCUAUAGCUCCCAUGUGUCGAGGCAUGACUUAGAGACAUAACCGCAUUGAAAGCAAUGUCGCAAGUUAGGCAAUCUUCACAACAUCCCAUGUAAUAUAUAUAAUAAAAGGGGAGAUACAUAGUUGGCUUACACUCGCCACGUCAAUCACAAUACAUAAAUAGCAUUACAACAAUCAAACACUCAUGGCCCGACUACGGCGCCAAAAUGAAAGAUAACCCAACGUGCGACAUGGUCCCGAUCACCCCCAACUGGGCACCACUACUGAUCAUCAGGGAAAGACACAUAGUAUCGGCGUGAGUCCUCAUCGAACUCCCACUUGAGCUCAAGCGCGUCAUCUGGAACGGAGUCAUCAGGCCCUGCAUCUGGUUUGGAAGUAAUCUGUGAGCCACAGGGACUCAGCAAUCUCGCACCCUCGCGAUCAAGACUAUUUAAGCUUAUUGGUAAGGCAAUCAGGUGUUGGGGAUACAGGGGAAGCAUAAUAUCUCACCCAAAUCUAGCAAUUCCUACAUCCAGCUGUAUCCAUCCUUCAACACAUAACCGAGAAAAACUUCGGAAACCAUCUACCUCAACCUUCGAAAAGCAUCCGUUAUACAAGUUAUGGUGAUACUCCCAAACUCCCGCCCCAGUACUGGGUGGCGUCGAGGUUAUCUCACCAACGAACUGCAUAAAAGAGAUUUUUGAUGUCCGCGUGCUAAACUCAGGUAUUCCAGAACUACAACGAUAAAAUUGUGAUGACAACACCUCGGAGCUCAACUCCCCGGGACACUGCCACAACCCCUAAAGGCAAGAGGCACCAAGAACAAUGUUCUCGUCACAAAGCCAUCAGAACGAUUCCAAGAUACCCGCGUGAUCCCAAAUUUUUUUUUUUGUGAAAUUUGAGAAGAGAAGAGUCAAAACUCUAUGUUAGGAUGCCUUACCAGAGCGAUGAGGAGACUGUGGAGUAAAAAGAAUUCCUAAACUCUCCGAUAUAUAAUUCCUAAAUGACUCAAAACAUUUUUCUAGACCCAACUCGGCCGCUAAAAACGAUCAAGCAAUGGGGCUCCUAUGGUCGGCGAAGGCUCUAAUGACCAACUUGUAUCACCCUUGAUGCGGCUAUAGCUCCCACGUGUUGAGGCAUGACUUAGAGACAUAACCGCAUUGAAAGCAAUGUCGCAAGUUAGGCAAUCUUCACAAUAUCCCAUGUAAUAUAAAUAAUAAAAGGGGAGAUACAUAGUUGGCUUACACUCGCCACGUCAAUCACAGUACAUAAAUAGCAUUACAACAAUCAAACACUCAUGGCCCGACUACGGCGCCAAAAUGAAAGAUAACCCAUCGUGCGACACGGUCCCGAUCACCUCCAACUGGGCACCACUACUGAUCAUCAGGGAAAGACACAUAGUAUCGGCGUGAGUCCUCGUCGAACUCCCACUUAAGCUCAAGCGCGUCAUCUGGAACGGGGUCAUCAGGCCCUGCAUCUGGUUUGGAAGUAAUUUGUGAGCCACAGGGACUCAGCAAUCGCGCACCCUCGCGAUCAAGACUAUUUAAGAUUAUGGGUAAGGCAAGGUAAAUAUGUGGAGCCGCAGCAAGCGACUAGCAUAUAUGGUGGCUAACCUGUUCGCGAAAGAGAGAGAGAAGAGGAGGCAAAGCGCGAACGAAUAACUAGAGGACAUCCUGCGGCAAGCAUUACUCCAACACCGUGUUCACUUCCCGGACUCCGCCGAGAAGAGACCAUCACGGUAACUCACACUGUUGAUUCAUUUUAAUUAAGUUAAGGUUCAAGUUAUCUACAACCGGACAUUAACAAAUUCCCAUCUGCCCAUAACCGCGGGCACGGCUUUCGAAAGUUCAAAUCCCAGCAGGGGAGUCCCAACUUAGCCCGUGACAAGCUCGCACGGUCCAUGAAGGAAUAGACCUCCUCCCGAGACAUUCCGAUCAGACUCGGUAUCCCGGUUCUACAAGACACUUCGACAAGUUAACACAAAUCCAGCAACACCGCCCGAAUGUGCCGACAAAUCCCGAUAGGAGCUGCACAUAUCUCGUUCUCAGGGCACAAUCGGAUAAGCAAUUCGUACAACUAAAACCAGCCCUCGAGUUUCCCCGAGGUGGCGCUGCAAGGGGCUCUAGGUUGGACCAACACUCAGAGGAGCACUGGCCCGGGGGGGUUUAAAUAAGAUGACCCUCGGGCUCCGGAAACCCAAGGGAAAAAGAGGCUAGGUGGCAAAUGGUAAAACCAAGGUUGGGCAUUGCUGGAAAAGCUUUAAUCAAGGCGAACUAUCAAGGGGUUCCCAUUAUCACCCAACCGCGUAAGGAACGCAAAAUCCGGGAACAUAACACCGAUAUGACGGAAACUAGGGCGGCAAGAGUGGAACAAAACACUAGGCGAGAGGCCGAGCCUUCCACCCUUUACCAAGUAUAUAGAUGCAUUAAGAUAACAUGGCAAUAUAAUGAUAUCCCAACAAGUAAAUAAUGUUCCAACAAGGAACGGUCUCCAAUCUUCACCUGCAACUAGCAACGCUAUAAGAGGGGCUGAGCAAAGCGGUAACAUAGCCAAUCAACGGUUUGCUAGGACAUGGUGGGUUAGAGGUUGAACAUGGCAAUUUGGGAGGCAUGAUAAGCAAGUGCUAGGCAUCGUGGCAUAGGCAUAGCAAAAGAGCGAGCAUCUAGCAAAGCAAAGAUAGUAGUGAUUUCGAGGGUAUGAUCAUCUUGCCUGCAAAGUUGUCAGAGUUGACUGGAUCCUCGAAAGCAAACUCAACGGGCUCCUCCUUAGCGAACUCGUCUCCCGGCUCUACCCAAACAAGACAAACAAGCAACAAUGACACAAUCAACCACGUGCAAACUCAAACAACAUGAUGCAAAGAUGAUAUGCUAUGAUUGAUGCAAUAUGGGAUGCAUAUGCAAGACUUGACGAGGAAUGAAUGACCCUGGACUCAACAUGGAAAUCCAAGUGUGCCACUGGAAAGGUGAGAUGAACUCGCUUGAAAACAAUAUAAAGAACGCCGGAAUUGGAGUUACGGUUUGGAAAUGGCAAGCAAUUCAAAUAUGACCACGUUCUGCGAUUUACAUCAAGUAGCCAUCUAAAUGCAACAAGAUGAACAUGCUACAGCACCCAAACAUAACAACAAAAUACAUGGCAGGGAUGUUGGGUUUCGUAGUAAUUUCAAAAAAAUUCCUACGCACACGCAAGAUCAUGUGAUGCAUAGCAACGAGGGGAGAGUGUGAUCUACAUACCUAGUAGAUCGACAACGGAAGCGUUUGAUUGAUGUAGUCGUACGUCUUCACGAUCCAACCGAUCAAGCACCGAAACUACGGCACCUCCGAGUUCGAGCACACGUUCAGCUCGAUGACGAUCCCCGGACUCCGAUCCAGCAAAGUGUCGGGGAAGAGUUCCGUCAGCACGACGGCGUGGUGACGAUCUUGAUGCACUACAGCAGCAGGGCUUCGCCUAAACUCCGCUACAGUAUUAUCGAGGACUAUGGUGGCUGGGGGCGCCGCACACGGCUAAGGAAUAGAUCACGUGGAUUAACUUGUGUGUUUCUGGGGUGCCCCUGCCUCCGUAUAUAAAGGACUAGAGGGGGGAGGCUGGCCGGCCAAGGGUGGCAUGCCAGGAGAGUCCUACUCCCUCUGGGAGUAGGAUUCCCCCCCCCCCCAAUCCUAGUUGGAAUAGGAUUCACGGAGGGGGAAAAGAGAAAGGGGGCCGGCCACCUCUCCUUGUCCUAAUAGGACUAGGGGAGGGAGGGAGGCAUGCAUCCCAUCUAGGGCAGCCCCUUCUCUUUUCCACUAAGGCCCACUAAGGCCCAUAUAGCUCCCGGGGGGGGGGGUCCGUAACCUCCCGGUACUCCGGUAAAAUCCCGAUUUCACCGGAACACUUCCGAUAUCCAAACAUAGGCUUCCAAUAUAUCAAUAUUUAUGUCUCGACCAUUUCGAGACUCCUCGUCAUGUCCGUGAUAACAUCCGGGACUCCGAACAACCUUCGGUACAUCAAAAUGCAUAAACUCAUAAUAUAACUGUCAUCGUAACCUUAAGCGUGCGGACCCUACGGGUUCGAGAACAAUGUAGACAUGACCGAGACACGUCUCCGGUCAAUAACCAAUAGCGGGACCUGGAUGCCCAUAUUGGCUCCUACAUAUUCUACGAAGAUAUUUAUCGGUCAGACCGCAUAACAACAUACGUUCUUUCCUUUGUCAUCGGUAUGUUACUUGCCCAAGAUUCGAUCGUCGGUAUUCCAAUACCUAGUUCAAUCUCGUUACCGGCAAGUCUCUUUACUCGUUCUGUAAUACAUCAUCCCGCAACUAACUCAUUUAGUUGCAAUGCUUGCAAGGCUUAAGUGAUGUGCAUUACCGAGAGGGCCCAGAGAUACCUCUCCGACAAUCGGAGUGACAAAACCUAAUCUCGAAAUACGCCAACCCAACAUGUACCUUUGGAGACACCUGUAGUACUCCUUUAUAAUCACCCAGUUAUGUUGUGACGUUUGGUAGUACCCAAAGUGUUCCUCCGGUAAACGGGAGUUGCAUAAUCUCAUAGUUAUAAGAACAUGUAUAAGUCAUGAAGAAAGCAAUAGCAACAUACUAAACGAUCGGUGCUAAGCUAAUGGAAUGGGUCAUGUCAAUCUGAUCAUUCUCUUAAUGAUGUGAUCCCGUUAAUCAAAUAACAACUCAUUGUUCAUGGUUAGGAAAAAUAACCAUCUUUGAUUAAUGAGCUAGUCAAGUAGAGGCAUACUAGUGACACUUUGUUUGUCUAUGUAUUCACACAUGUAUUAUGUUUCCGGUUAAUACAAUUCUAGCAUGAAUAAUAAACAUUUAUUAUGAUUAUAAGGAAAUAAAUAAUAACUUUAUUAUUGCCUCUAGGGCAUAUUUCCUUCAGUCUCCCACUUGCACUAGAGUCAAUAAUCUAGAUUACACCGUAAUGAUUCUAACACCCAUGGAGCCUUGGUGUUGAUCAUGUUUUGCUCGCGGAAGAGGCUUAGUCAAUGGGUCUGCAACAUUCAGAUCCGUAUGUAUCUUGCAAAUCUCUAUGUCUCCCACCUGGACUAGAUCCCGGAUGGAAUUGAAGCGUCUCUUGAUGUGCUUGGUUCUCUUGUGAAAUCUGGAUUCCUUUGCCAAGGCAAUUGCACCAGUAUUGUCACAAAAGAUUUUCAUUGGACCCGAUGCACUAGGUAUGACACCUAGAUCGGAUAUGAACUCCUUCAUCCAGACUCCUUCAUUUGCUGCUUCCGAAGCAGCUAUGUACUCCGCUUCACAUGUAGAUCCCGCUACAACGCUUUGUUUAGAACUGCACCAACUGACAGCUCCACCGUUUAAUGUAAACACGUAUCCGGUUUGCAAUUUAGAAUCGUCCGGAUCAGUGUCAAAGCUUGCAUCAACGUAACCAUUUACGACGAGCUCUUUGUCACCUCCAUAUACGAGAAGCAUAUCCUUAGUCAUUUUCAGGUAUUUCAGGAUGUUCUUGACCGCUGUCCAGUGACCCACUCCUAGAUUACUUUGGUACCUCCCUGCUAGACUUAUAGCAAGGCACACAUCAGGUCUGGUACACAGCAUUGCAUACAUGAUAGAUCCUAUCACUGAUGCAUAGGGAACAUCUUUCAUAUUCUCUCUAUCUUCUGUAGUGGUCGGGCAUUGAGUCUUACUCAAUUUCACACCUUGUAACACAGGCAAGAAUCCUUUCUUUGCUUGAUCCAUUUUGAACUUCUUCAAAAUUUUGUCAAGGUAUGUUGUUUGUGAAAGUCCAAUUAAGCGCUUUGAUCUAUCUCUAUAGAUCUUAAUGCCUAAUAUGUAAGCAGCUUCACCGAGGUCUUUCAUUGAAAAACUCUUAUUCAAGUAUCCCUUUAUGCUAUCCAGAAAUUCUAUAUCAUUUCCAAUUAAUAAUAUGUCAUCCACAUAUAAUAUCAGAAAUGCUACAGAGCUCCCACUCACUUUCUUGUAAAUACAGGCUUCUCCAAAAGUCUGUAUAAAACCAAAUGCUUUGAUCACACUAUCAAAACGUUUAUUCCAACUCCGAGAGGCUUGCACCAGUCCAUAAAUGGAUCGCUGGAGCUUGCACACUUUGUUAGCUCCCUUUGGAUUGACAAAACCUUCUAGUUGCAUCAUAUACAACUCUUCUUCCAAAAAUCCAUUCAGGAAUGCAGUUUUGACAUCCAUCUGCCAAAUUUCAUAAUCAUAAAAUGCGGCAAUUGCUAACAUGAUUCGGACAGACUUAGGCAUCGCUACGGGUGAGAAGGUCUCAUCGUAGUCAAUCCCUUGAACUUGCCGAAAACCUUUUGCGACAAGUCGAGCUUUGUAGACAGUAAUAUUACCGUCAGCGUCAGUCUUCUUCUUGAAGAUCCAUUUAUUCUCAAUUGCUUGCCGAUCAUCGGGCAAGUCAACCAAAGUCCAUACUUUGUUCUCAUACAUGGAUCCCAUCUCAGAUUUCAUGGCUUCAAGCCACUUUGCGGAAUCUGGGCUCACCAUUGCUUCUUCAUAGUUCGUACGUUCAUCAUGAUCUAGCAUCAUGACUUCCAGAAUGGGAUUACCGCACCACUCUGGCGUGGAUCUUACUCUGGUUGAUCUACGAGGUUCAGUAGUAUCUUGUUCUGAAGUUUCAUGAUCAUUAUCAUUGACUUCCUCACUAACUGGUGUAGGUGUCACAGAAACAGUUUUCUGUGAUGUACUACUUUCCAAUAAGGGAGUAGGUAUAGUUACCUCGUCAAGUUCUACUUUCCUCCCACUCACUUGUUUCGAGAGAAACUCCUUCUCUAGAAAGUUUCUGAAUUUAGCAACAAAAGUCUUGCCUUCGGAUCUGUGAUAGAAGGUGUAUCCAAUAGUUUCCUUUGGAUAUCCUAUGAAGACACAUUUCUCCGAUUUGGGUUUGAGCUUAUCAGGUUGAAGCUUUUUCACAUAAGCAUCGCAGGCCCAAACUUUCAGAAACGACAACUUUGGUUUCUUGCCAAACCACAGUUCAUAAGGCGUCGUCUCAACGGAUUUUGAUGGUGCCCUAUUUAACGUGAAUCCGGCCGUCUCUAGAGCGUAUCCCCAAAACGAUAGCGGUAAAUCAGUAAGAGACAUCAUAGAUCGCACCAUAUCCAGUAAAGUACGAUUACGACGUUCGGACACACCAUUACGCUGAGGUGUUCCGGGUGGCGUGAGUUGCGAAACUAUUCCAUAAUUUUUCAAAUGUACACCAAACUCGUAACUCAAAUAUUCUCCUCCACGAUCAGAUCGUAGAAACUUUAUUUUCUUGUUACGAUGAUUUUCAACUUCACUCUGAAAUUCCUUGAACUUUUCAAAUGUUUUAGACUUAUGUUUCAUUAAGUAGAUAUACCCAUAUCUGCUUAAAUCAUCUGUGAAGGUGAGAAAAUAACGAUAUCCGCCACGAGCCUCAAUAUUCAUCGGACCACAUACAUCUGUAUGUAUGAUUUCCAACAAAUCUGUUGCUCUCUCCAUAGUACCGGAGAACGGCGUUUUUGUCAUCUUGCCCAUGAGGCACGGUUCGCAAGUACCAAGUGAUUCAUAAUCAAGUGGUUCCAAAAGUCCAUCAGAAUGGAGUUUCUUCAUGCGCUUUACACCGAUAUGACCUAAACGGCAGUGCCACAAAUAAGUUGCACUCUCAUUAUCAACUCUGCAUCUUUUGGCUUCAACAUUAUGAAUAUGUGUGUUACUACUAUCGAGAUUCAACAAGAAUAGACCAAUCUUUAAGGGUGCAUGACCAUAAAAGAUAUUACUCAUAUAAAUAGAACAACCAUUAUUCUCUGAUUUAAAUGAAUAACCGUCUGGCAUCAAACAAGAUCCAGAUAUAAUGUUCAUGCUUAACGCUGGCACCAAAUAACAAUUAUUUAGGUCUAAUACUAAUCCCGAAGGUAGAUGUAGAGGUAGCGUGCCGACUGCGAUCACAUCGACUUUGGAACCGUUUCCCACGCGCAUCGUCACCUCGUCCUUAACCAAUCUUCGCUUGAUCCGUAGUCCCUGUUUCGAGUUGCAAAUAUUAGCAACAGAACCAGUAUCAAAUACCCAGGUGCUACUGCGAGCAUUAGUAAGGUACACAUCAAUAAAAUGUAUAUCACAUAUACCUUUGUUCACCUUGCCAUCCUUCUUAUCCGCCAAAUACUUGGGGCAGUUCCGCUUCCAGUGAACAGUCUGCUUGCAAUAGAAUCACUCAGUUUCAGGCUUAGGUCCAGGUUUGGGUUUCUUCUCUUGAGUAGCAACUUGCUUGCCGUUCUUUUUGAAGUUUCCCUUCUUCUUCCCUUUGCCCUUUUUCUUGAAACUAGUGGUCUUGUUGACCAUCAACACUUGAUGCUCCUUCCUGAUUUCUACCUCCGCAGCUUUCAGCAUGCGAAGAGCUCGGGAAUAGUCUUGUUCAUCCCUUGCAUAUUAUAGUUCAUCACGAAGCUCUUGUAGCUUGGUGGCAGUGAUUGAAGAAUUCUGUCAAUGACGCAAUCAUCUGGAAGAUUAACUCCCAAUUGAAUCAAGUGAUUAUUAUACCCAGACAUUUUGAGUAUAUGCUCACUGACAGAACUGUUCUCCUCCAUCUUGUAGCUAUAGAACUUAUUGGAGACUUCAUAUCUCUCAAUCCGGGCAUUUGCUUGAAAUAUUAACUUCAACUCCUGGAACAUCUCAUAUGCUCCAUGACAUUCAAAACAUCGUUGAAGUCCCGAUUCUAAGCCGUAAAGCAUGGCACACUGAACUAUCGAGUAGUCAUCAGCUUUGCUCUGCCAGACGUUCAUAACAUCCGGCGUUGCUCCUGCAGCAGGCCUGGCACCCAGUGGUGCGACGUAAUUCUUCUGUGCAGCAAUGAGGAUAAUCCUCAAGUUACGGACCCAGUCCGUGUAAUUGCUACCAUCAUCUUUCAACUCUGCUUUCUCAAGGAACGCAUUAAAAUUCAAUGGAACAACAGCACGAGCCAUCUAUCUACAAUCAAACAUAAACAAGCAAGAUACUAAUCAGGAACUAAGUUUCAUGAUAAAUUUAAGUUCAGUUAAUCAAAUUAAUUAAAGAACUCCCACUUAGAUAGACAUCCCUCUAAUCCUCUAAGUGAUUACAUGAUCCAAAUCAACUAAACCAUAACCGAUCAUCACGUGAGAUGGAGUAGUUUUCAAUGGUGAACAUCGUUAUGUUGAUCAUAUCUACUAUAUGAUUCACGCUCGACCUUUCGGUCUCCGUGUUCCGAGGCCAUAUCUGUAUAUGCUUGGCUCGUCAAGUAUAACCUGAGUAUUCCGCGUGUGCAACUGUUUUGCACCCGUUGUAUUUGAACGUAGAACCUAUCACACCCGAUCAUCACGUGGUGUCUCUGCACGAAGAACUUUCGCAACGGUGCAUACUCAGGGAGAACACUUCUUGAUAAUUUAGUGAGAGAUCAUCUUAUAAUGCUACCGUCAAUCAAAGCAAGAUAAGAUGCGUAAAAGGAUAAACAUCACAUGCAAUCAAUAUAAGUGAUAUGAUAUGGCCAUCAUCAUCUUGUACUUGUGAUCUCUAUCUCCGAAGCACCGUCGUGAUCACCAUCGUCACCAGCGUGGCACCUUGAUCUCCAUCGUAGCAUCGUUGUCGUCUCGCCAAGUUUGUGCUUCUACGAAUAUCGCUACCGCUUAGUGAUAAAAGUAAAGCAUUACAUCGCGAUUGCAUUGCAUACAAUAGAACGACAACCAUAAGGCUCCUGCCAGUUGCCGAUAACUUGGUUACAAAACAUGAUCAUCUCAUACAAUAAAAUUCAGCAUCAUGUCUUGACCAUAUCACAUCACAACAUGCCCUGCAAAAACAAGUUAGACGUCCUCUACUUUGUUGUUGCAAGUUUUACGUGGCUGCUACGGGCUUAAGCAAGAACCAAUCUUACCUACACAUCAAAACCACAACGAUAGUUUGUCAAUUUGACUCCGUUUUAACCUUCGCAAGGACCGGGCGUAGCCAUACUCGGUUCAACUAAAGUUGGAGAGACAGUCGCCCGCAAGCCACCUAUGUGCAAAGCACGUCGGGGGAACCGGUCUCGCGUAAGCGUACGCGUAAUGUUUGUCCGGGUCGUCUCGUCCAACAAUGCCGCCGAACCAAAGUAUGACAUGCUGGUAGGCAGUAUGACUUAUAUCGCCCACAACUCACUUGUGUUCUACUCGUGCAUGUAUCAUCAACAUAAAUAACCUAGGCUCGGAUGCCACUGAUGGGUUUCGUAGUAAUUUCAAAAAAAUUCCUACGCACACGCAAGAUCAUGUGAUGCAUAGCAACGAGGGGAGAGUGUGAUCUACAUACCUAGUAGAUCGACAACGGAAGCGUUUGGUUGAUGUAGUCGUACGUCUUCACGAUCCAACCGAUCAAGCACCCAAACUACGGCACCUCCGAGUUCGAGCACACGUUCAGCUCGAUGAAGAUCCCCGAACUCCGAUCCAGCAAAGUGUCGGGGAAGAGUUCCGUCAGCACGACGGCGUGGUGACGAUCUUGAUGCACUACAGCAGCAGGGCUUCGCCUAAACUCCGCUACAGAAUUAUCGAGGACUAUGGUGGCUGGGGGCGCCGCACAUGGCUAAGGAAUAGAUCACGUGGAUUAACUUGUGUGUUUCUGCGGUGCCCCUGCCUCCGUAUAUAAAGGACUAGAGGGGGGAGGCUGGCCGGCCAAGGGUGGCGCGCCAGGAGAGUCCUACUCCCUCUGGGAGUAGGAUUCCCCCUCCCCCCCCCCCCCAAUCCUAGUUGGAAUAGAAUUCGCGGAGGGGAAAAAGAGAAAGGGGGACCGGCCACCUCUCCUUGUCCUAAUAGGACUAGGGGAGGGAGGGAGGCACGCAUCCCAUCUUGGGCAGCCCCUUCUCUUUUCCACUAAGGCCCAAUAAGGCCCAUAUAGCUCCCGGGGGGGUUCCGGUAACCUCCCGGUACUCCGGUAAAAUCCCGAUUUCACCCGGAACACUUCCGAUAUCCAAACAUAGGCUUCCAAUAUAUCAAUAUUUAUGUCUCGACCAUUUCGAGACUCCUCGUCAUGUCCGUGAUCACAUCCGGGACUCCGAACAACCUUCGGUACAUCAAAAUGCAUAAACUCAUAAUAUAACUGUCAUCGUAACCUUAAGUGUGCGGACCCUACGGGUUCGAGAACAAUGUAGACAUGACCGAGACACGUCUCCGGUCAAUAACCAAUAGCGGGACCUGGAUGCCCAUAUUGGCUCCUACAUAUUCUACGAAGAUCUUUAUCGGUCAGACCGCAUAACAACAUACGUUGUUUCCUUUGUCAUCGGUAUGUUACUUGCCCGAGAUUCGAUCGUCGGUAUUCCAAUACCUAGUUCAAUCUCGUUACCGGCAAGUCUCUUUACUCGUUCUGUAAUACAUCAUCCCGCAACUAACUCAUUUAGUUGCAAUGCUUGCAAGGCUUAAGUGAUGUGCAUUACCGAGAGGGCCCAGAGAUACCUCUCCGACAAUCGGAGUGACAAAACCUAAUCUCGAAAUACGCCAACCCAACAUGUACCUUUGGAGACACCUGUAGUACUCCUUUAUAAUCACCCAGUUACGUUGUGACGUUUGGUAGUACCCAAAGUGUUCCUCCGGUAAAUGGGAGUUGCAUAAUCUCAUAGUUAUAGGAACAUGUAUAAGUCAUGAAGAAAGCAAUAGCAACAUACUAAACAAUCGGGUGCUAAGCUAAUGGAAUGGGUCAUGUCAAUCAGAUCAUUCUCUUAAUGAUGUGAUCCCGUUAAUCAAAUAACAACUCAUUGUUCAUGGUUAGGAAACAUAACCAUCUUUGAUUAACGAGCUAGUAAAGUAGAGGCAUACUAGUGACACUUUGUUUGUCUAUGUAUUCACACAUGUAUUAUGUUUCCGGUUAAUACAAUUCUAGCAUGAAUAAUAAACAUUUAUCAUGAUUAUAAGGAAAUAAAUAAUAACUUUAUUAUUGCCUCUAGGGCAUAUUUCCUUCAAGGGAUCCACUCAUGAUGCUUAACAAAAUACUAGCACUGAGCUACGGCUAAUUCAUCCAUUAACAGGUUCAAACAAGCAUGGCAAAAAUGCAUUUGAUAAACAGAUUUCAGACUUUGUGAAAUUAACACUUGUCUGGAAGUUCAGAUCAGAUAGCACUCUUUGGACCAUGAAAACAAUAUGCUACAGGACCUGAACAUGACAAAUUAAAGCAUGGCAUGGAGCUACUCAAAGAGCUUAACAAAAUUCCCUUAGUGACCUUGAGCCAAAAGGGAUCAGAAAAUACAUUUGCAAGCAUGUGAACAUGGCAAAAACAUAAUCAGUUCUCAGACUUUGUGAAAAUUGGAGCAUGCUGAAACAGAUAUCAAGUAAGCACGUUUACGAGCUCGAUGCACUCACUACAGAGCAAGUCAUGACAAUCUAAGCAUACACACUUCAAGAAUACACAAAAUACAAGCUAAACAUAGCACGAACAAUAACAUAGCAUUCACGGAUCAACUACAAAAUCCUCGGCAAAAUUGCUAACAAGUAGACAAUCUGCCCAGAUUCACGAAAUAGCAAAAGUAGAGCUCGAUUGACUCAAGCUAGGGUGCUCCAUAAUUGCAAACAAAGACAUAGAUGGAUAGAUCACUACAAUAUUAACAAAACAUCUUUACUAAUCAUCCUCAAAAGAGGCACGGAUCACUAGGAAUCAACAUGAACAUAUGGAAUAUUGAGAUAACCAAUCCAAGGACUUAGUGGAAAUGCUAAGUCCCUGAAAUCAGCAUUAAUGAAUGCUCCACUUUGCAAGCUUGUGCUAGUCACCACACACAUCACAAAAAUACAUGGGUUGCACCUCUGGAUAGAUGGCAAAACAUAUAACAAAACUCAUGUAGAGCUUAGGGCAUAUCAUGCACACAAUAAUCAUGGCAAAAAUGACAAAUAUCUAAUUGGAGCAUCAGAUCUGACAAUUAUCUCAAAUAGCACUCUUCCAACAGCAUUUCGGGCAUCAAGAUGAACUCAAAUGAAAAUGAUGCCACUACAAGAAAUAUGUCAACUUAUGACCACCACUAUUGGUCACUGAAAGGUCACAAAUUUCCAUUUAUGACCUUUUUGUGACCAAAAACAUAAGGUCAAAAGCUGGGCGUCGUAAACUGACUAUAGCGACCUUUCUUCUGGGAUGGUCGCAAACGUUUAUGACCAAAAUACGUCUAUUGUGGCGUUUUGGUCACUAGCAACCUCCCCAGGCCACGUAGGCAUCCAGCGUGGCAAUUUGACAUGGCACAAGAUUCAGCCCGGUCCAAUUUUGUGUUUAUAUGGGCCGAGCCCAUUUAUUGUUUUUUUCUUGCAAUUUGGGUAAGCUACACGGGCCAGGCCCUAUAAUUCGGCCUUUUUAUUUCUGGGUUGUGGCCCUUUUUUCCUUUUUCAAAUGGGUCCCAAUUGUCAGGUUCUGAUAAGCGGGUCCCAAAUGUCCGAUUCUGGUUUGUGGAACUUUGUUGUCAUGGCCAUGUUCCUCAUAUUUCAAUAUGCCAAUAAUUAAACAACCAGUAUUUAAAUCAAAAUAGACAGAAAACAGGUGUAACAAGCCGAUUCUAAUAUACAAAUGUGAUCAAUCUGUUACAUCAACAAGAAGCAACAAUCUGUUACAUCAACAAGAAGCAACAAUCUGUUACAUCAACACAUACAAAUGCGAUCACAGUAUAACAAACUCUACAGGUGUCUUUUGACAGCUUCAAGUGGCCCUUCAUGGCGGCAGGAAGAUGGUUCCUAUCACCCUUCAUGGGCAUCAGAGUGAUGCAGCUGAAUGUGGCAGGGAAAAGGAUUACCUGCAAAAGCCAAAUUUAUACAAGAUAUCAGCCUUUCAGUCAUGCAGAAUAUCAGAGACACAUGCUUCAUCACUACAGGGCAUGGAAACGUAAAAUGCAUUUUUUACAAAGGGCUUACAAUUGCAAAUUUACUAUCCACAAAAUUAAAUUAGAAAAAACAAAUAAAACAGUGAGGUGCAAAAGAUGUCAGCCUUAGUGUUUCUACUUCCUACAAAUGACCGAGACCAUGUUGUUUCAACCUUUUGUAGAACACACUAUUCUCUAACAGUAUAUAUUGAGCAUGCUACAGCAGAAGCUUGAAUUUAUGGUUUCUAUACUUCUACAUUAUACAUCCUCAGUAAUAUAGACCAGUUUGUUACACUUCAGAGAUUGAGAUCAAGGCCUGUCAACUAAAUCAUAUAUAUGCAUUAAAAAACAAGGCCAUAUGGACCAAUGCAUCAUAAUUAUCAGUUUAAACAUCAGCAAAGGAAUUAAGUAAACUAUUGUGCUGGAUCACUAUCAUUAUUGUUCCAUAGAGUUUAUGUGUACAUUGUCCACUAAUUCAUGAGGAUUGAUGCAAUGGAUGCUGGCUUGGCAACCAUAGUAGUUUAGGCACAACAGUGUAAACCCACACAAAUGCUACUAAUUCCAUCAUAUCAAGGACCAUUUUAUCAGGUCCAUGUGUAUACUACUCACUACAAGAAGCAACAUGACAGCAAUAUCACCAUGAUCAUCAAAAAAAGGAACAACUUUUCCUCUGCUCAAGCCAGCCUCAAACAACACCAUAGCAAUCAAAUUUUCAAAUAAUGAACCAAGACAUGUCCAGAACAAUCCAAAGUUUGUUGUGCACGUGAGAUGAGAUGAGAUCAUAUGACAUGAGCUCACCACACCAAGUCAUGUGGUUGGAGGAGUAGGGAGCAGCCAUGAGGCCUUGUCAUCCACCUACGGGAGCAGAAACAACUCGUCCAAAUCAGAUCUAAGCAACCUGCACAAAAAACAAAACAAAUCAAACCAAAGGCAGGAAUCACAACGAGACAGGAGAAGGGAUUCUAUCCCAAGAUAGCAACCCGAAAAACAAAAAACAUGAUUAGGGAGCUGGUACAUAAGAAAGGAAUUCAUGCAUGAAUGACAUAUACAACUUAACAAUCAGGAUAUGAAAUAUUAUUAGAAUUGCAUAUUAGAUGGCUGCAAGAUAACUAUUGCUUCAUAUAAAGUAACUAGAAUUAGCACCCAACAGCUAGAUAGCAUAUGGUGCAGAAACUAGUUUCAACUAAAUGGGUCGUCCAAAUUGGAGGGUAACUCACUUCAUUAUCCAGAACAUUAUCCAAAAAUAUAGGAGUGUUGUGCAUAUCAAGAUAAAAUCCAAGACCAAGACACUUGGAGAAAGCAACUGAUGUAGUAACAAGCUUUGAUUGUGCGAAAUGCAACAAAAAGAGAAUUUAAUUUAGCUUCUCUUUCUAAAAGGCGUGAAUGCAAAUAAAAAACAUCCCCUAGAUAAGCCUCACGGCCGGGAGGUCUUCUUAAUAGAAGGGGCAUUUGGCGAUAAGCUUGUGCCUGUUUGGAGAGAUCAUCAUAAAUUAUUAAAGUACCGAUUCCUAACGAAAUCGAUGUAGUAGUGGCUUGAUGGAAGCCCAGAGUCUUUAGUUGAUCCAGUAUAUGGGAUGUAUAUCCCAUUCCAAAAUGAUAUAUUAAUCUGCUAAUAAGUCGUUUCAUACCAGUUCCGUCUAUCUCUUUAUUAUGAAAGACCAGAUUGGCCCGUUCCGCCAUACAUAAGUACCCCCUUUUCGGCUGAGUAGGAUUCGACAAUUGCUGAGUAGGAUUCGACAAUGGGCCUGAGUCAGUGAUUCGAAAAUUUAAUUAACUUAAUUGCCUCAAUCUCAAUCUGGAUUCGCGUGGCAAAUAAAGAAUUAGUAGAUCUGUUCCGCCCAAAAUGGGAAUGGGCGCUAGGGUUAUGAACUUAUAAUCAUGGAAUCGACUCGAUCAUCAGAUUAUAAGUUCAUUCCAUACCGAACCAGACCGUGCACAUUCUUAUUAUGAGAAGGGGUCAUUCGAGCAUCGAUUUUGAUACAUAUAAGGUGUCCUACGGAUAAUGCAAAUCGAAGCUAUUUGAUGUCUGACUCAGGCCUAUAUGACCGAUCGAUCGAAAUACUCCAAGACUCCACCUUUGUCAUAUAUAUAUUUUUUUUAAUAAAAAUCGCUAAAAAUAAGGAGAAUUUGGCCAUCGUGAUUAGGGUCGCUCGUUUUUUAACUUUACUUUAGUGGAAUUUAACCGGACCUAUUCGUUUUGGCAUUUGAGUGUUUUUCAUGGUCGAUAAAAAAAAUCUUUUGAUGUCUUACUAGUUCAAUGUUUUGACAGAAGCGCGCGGUGUAAUUCCAUUGAUUUUUGGAUUUCGAUCGUAUCUAAGAUCCUUUUUUAUCUGGGUUGCUAACUCAAUGGUAGAGAGUAGGUAAGUUAGAAGGGGAACGCGAAAUGACUUUAGGUUUUGUUGAUUUAUUGCGCGAUGAUUUUAUUGAAAAAGAUCGUGCUCGCGGUAUCUUUUUCACUCAGGACUGGGUAUCCAUGCCAGGUGUUAUACCGGUAGCUUCAGGUGGUAUUCAUGUUUGGCAUAUGCCAGCUCUGACCGAAAUCUUUGGGGACGAUUCUGUAUUACAAUUUGGUGGAGGAACUUUAGGACAUCCUUGGGGAAAUGCACCUGGUGCAGCAGCUAAUCGAGUGGCUUUAGCCGGACAAAUUGAUAAGUCUGGCAUUCCCAGCCCACCAAGCAAAGCCGGUGGUUUCUUGGUCACGACCAGCUAAAACGAAAGUUCCAUUAAAGAGCGUUUCCACGUGGUAGAACCUCCUCAGGGAAGCUAAUUGCCCAAAGUGAGAAGCAAAAAUGUUCUGAUAAAGACGUUCUUCAGUAAUAUCAUCAUGACUUUCGAAAUCAUGUGCGGUAGCAAUACCAAACCAAAUACGAAAACAUAGUAUAGAAUACAAAAUACAAAUCAACUCAUCUGAUUUCCGGUAGAUAUUAUUUCAUAUGUAUAGAGGGUAUUCAUAUACUAUAAUAUGAAUCAAAUAAGAUAUGGAUCAAAGAAAAACUACUUCUUCUGGAUCCUAAAUUAAUAAAAUAAAGAAGUGAAUUUUCAAAUUUUCAAAUUUUAAAUAAGGAAUAAAUCAUGUAUACAUGUUUGCAUAAUAUGAAGUUUACCAAUUAUUCCAGAAAACAAGGAAAAAUACAUGUUGAUGUUUCAAGUGCAGAAGAACAUAAACUGGUACAUAUAUUGGCCCAGAAAACACUGCUCAUCCAAGAUGAGAACAAAACAUAUCUAAGCAAACUAGCAACAAUGCACUGUACACGUGUUUGUAGAUUAAUAAAAAAAGUAUCACAGCCAAUAAUCCAUUCGUGUGCAGUGCACUCUUAAUCACCCCUAGUAUAAUUAGCUAAACUGUGCACACAGUUGUGUUUAUAUUAUGAGCAAGUGUUGGCUCCAACUCAAGCACAAAUGUACGCAGAACUGGAGGCCUGCCUUAAGAAUCCCAACAUUUUAACUACAUCACCAUUCGCCUCAAAACAGAAAAAGCACACGAAACCCCCCACCACACAGCAAUCUUAACGUCUUUAGGCAGCAACCAAAUUACAGACCAGUUAAUUUUUAGGCCAGCAACCAAAUUUUCUUCAUCCAAAUUCAUGACAUAGAGCAGAGUUGUGUAACAGCUAGCUAACCAGUGGAACUCAUGUAGUAUUGUUUCUGUUCAUUCAGUUAACAAUGGCAGAGUAAUUUUAGGCAACCUUGAGUACCAAAUGACAUUGUCUCUUAAAAUUUAUCUAUUACCAGUUAACAUAUGCAUGCAACUGUAAACAUGACCACACAGAGCUACUAAACAGGCAUGGAAUGGGAGAGGCAACGCCAGUUGGUGUGGUCGUCGAUGACAAGGCCGGUGGCGGCCGUUGGCGUCGAUAGUAGUCAACCCGACAUCCUGGUGCUCGAGUGACGACGGAUCUGGGAGGGAGAACGGACGAGGUGAGUAAGAGAGCGGAGAUUUGGGAUUAUCCAAAUGAGGAGAAGUGGAGGGACUCACCUGAACCGGUGGAGCAAGUGACGAAACUAAAACCGGUGGUGCUCCUCCUAGGCCGCCAUGGAUGAUCUGAUGCCCGUGGGAUUUUCUCCAUGGCCGGCCCCUUCCUUCACAAAAUCAGAUCGGGUCUCUUCACGAACAUGCAAGAAAAUGGGUGCAUGCAUCAGAUUUAGGGAGGGGGAGGGGGCGAGAUGCAGGAGCAGAGAAGGGGAGGAGCAGGGAUGCGUACCACUGCCUUGCUCGAUCUGGGCCGCGUAUAAGCAUGCGUAGGUCAUCUCCCGACGCUCGAGCCUGCCCUCCGUCAAGGACCGGGUCAAAGAAGCCCUUGACCUCGACGACGGCACUGCCGGAUCUGGGAGGGAGCGCCGUCGAUGCUGGCCUAGGGCCACGGGGAAGCGAAGGGUCGGCGGGGAGGAGGAGGCGGUUCAGGCGGGGGAAGGCGGGGAACGAGCGCAUCGGCGUCGGGGAGGAGGAGGAGGGGCAGGUGAGCUGCUGCGGGUGGCCUAAUGGGGGAUGACCACCGGGCGUCGAGGGAAUGGAACAGGGGAGGGGGUGGAUCUGGCCGCCGCCAUGGCCAUGGUCGUGCCAUGCGGCUAGGUCUAGGUCAUGAGCGAGGGGGAGCACGGAUCCGACCGCAGCCGUGGGAGAGAAGGGAAGGUGAGGGGUUGACGACGGCCGGGGUUGGGGGAGAGGAAGGAGGAUGGUGGCGGCGGCGGCUGGGUGGUUGGGGAUCGAGAGAUUGAGAAGGAGCGAGAGGGUUGGGGGGUGGCGGCUGUGGGACGGGAGGGGAGAGUGGAUCGGGGGAGAGGUGGGGAUCCAGAAGUUAGGGUUUGGGUGAGAGGGUAAGGGGGCGAGGGCUGCCAUUGGAUCCAGAAGCAUCCAACGGUGGUUGACACAUGAUCCGCGUGAUAUACCUAUGGACCAAUCAGAGCGCACCAAAUAAUUUGAAGAUCUUUUGACCAUAUAAAUUGGUCAUGAUUGAUUACAUACAAAUUUUUCAUUCCAUUUUUCAAUGCUCAAAAUGAGUUUUUUUGGUGAAAGACAUAUAAAAUAUUUGUUUAAAUGAUGUCAUAUUUGCACAAGUUUAAAUCUUAAAUUGGCAAACAACAUUGACAAAGGGAGUUUUCAUUUUCUAUGCACAGAAAAUUCAAUUUCCAUUUUCCGAGUGCCCGAAAUGAGUUUUUUUGGGAAGGACCUACCAUAUAUUUGUUGCAAAAUUGGACCAAAUCAUUUUUAUAAAAUACUAGGACAUAUUUAAUUCACAAUUGACAAAAUGGUUGGGUGUCAAAAGUUUAGAUCCACCUCUGGUGAAAAAGACAAAUUCCCGCCGAUUCAGCUAGAAGCGGGUCAAAUUUGAACUGCAGCUGCCUCAUAGUUUGCUAUUUAUUUUUUCCAAAAAUCAUUUCUAGGUACAUAAGUAUCUAUUUAAUCAGAGAAACACCAAAAAAAUUCCAAGAUUCAACCACUAGCUAGGAACGGUCAAGCCCGCCGUUUUGACCGCAUUUUGAAACAGGCAUAAAAAAUUCAAAAAAAAUCAAAAAAUUGGAAAACCUUCGCAUUGUGUCAUUAUAUGUGACCAAGUUCCCAGGAAAAAUAACAAACUUGUAAUACGGCAAUUAUUUUAAAAAAGUGUUCUCAGAAAUGAGCUAUCAUCUCUGAAGAUUCAUGGCCUUCAAGCCAAAUGAUCAAUCUUAUGGCCACAUUCGUGGCAUAGUUUGUUCAAAUGAUCUCAUAUUGUGCACAAGGGUGCAUAUUGGAAUGGCAAACAAUGUUGCCUAAGGAAGUUUUCAUUUUCUUUGGACGAAAAAACCAUUUUUCAUUUUUCGAGUGCCCAAAAGGAGGUUUUUUGUGAAGGAACUACCAAAUAAUUGUUGCCAAAUUGGACCAAAUCAAUUUUCUAAAAUACUAGGACAUAUUUAGUGCACAAUUGACAAAAUGGUUGGGUGCAAAAAGUUUUUAUCCACCUCUCGUGAAAAAGACAAAUUUUUGCCGAUUCAGUUGGAAGCGGGUCAAAUUUGAACUGAAGCUGCCUCAUAGUUUUCUAUUUAUUUUUUCCAAAAAUCAUUUCUAGGUACAUAAGUAUCUAUUUAAUCAGAGAAACACCAAAAAAAUUCCAAGAUUCAACCACUAGCUAGGAACGGUCAUUCCCGUCGUUUUGACCGCAUUUUGAAACGGGCAUAAAAAAUUCAGAAAAAAUCAAAAAAAUUGGGAAACCUUCGCAUUGUGUCAUCAUAUGUGGCCAAGUUCCCAGGAAAAAUAACAAACUUGUAAUACGACAAUUAUUUUAAAAAAGUGUUCUCAGAAACGAGCUAUCAUGUGUGGAGAUCAAUGGCUUUCAAGCCAAAUGAUCAAUCUUAUGGCCACAUUCAUGGCAUAGUUUGUUCAAAUCAUCUCAUAUUGUGCACAAGGAUGCAUAUUGGAAUGGCAAACAAUGUUGCCUAAGGAAGUUUUCAUUUUCUUUGGACGAAAAAACCAUUUUUCAUUUUUCGAGUGCCCAAAAGAAGGUUUUUUUGUGAAGCAACUACCAAAUAAUUGUUGCAAAAUUGGACCAAAUCAAUUUUCUAAAAUACUAGGACAUAUUUAAUGCAUAAUUGACAAAAUGGUUGGGUGCAAAAAGUUUUUAUCCACCUCUGGUGAAAAAGACAAAUUUCCGCCGAUUCAGUUGGAAGCGAGUCAAAUUUGAACUGCAGCUGCCUCAUAGUUUGCUAUUUAUUUUUCCCAAAAAUCAUUUCUAGGUACAUAAGUACCUAUUUAAUCAGAGAAACACCAAAAAAAUUCCAAGAUUCAACCACUAGCUAGGAACGGUCAAGCCCGCCAUUUUGACCGCAUUUUGAAACAGGCAUAAAAAAUUCAAAAAAAAAUCAAAAAAUUGGAAAACCUUCGCAUUGUGUCAUUAUAUGUGACCAAGUUCCCAGGAAAAAUAACAAACUUGUUAUACGGCAAUUAUUUUAAAAAAGUGUUCUCAGAAAUGGGCUAUCAUCUCUGAAGAUUCAUGGCCUUCAAGCCAAAUGAUCAAUCUUAUGGCCACAUUCGUGGCAUAGUUUGUUCAAGUGAUCUCAUAUUGUGCACAAGGGUGCAUAUUGGAAUGGCAAACAAUGUUGCCUAAGGAAGUUUUCAUUUUCUUUGGACGAAAAAACCAUUUUUUAUUUUUCGAGUGCCCAAAAGGAGGUUUUUUUGUGAAGGAACUACCAAAUAAUUGUUGCAAAAUUGGACCAAAUCAAUUUUCUAAAAUACUAGGACAUAUUUAAUGCACAAUUGACAAAAUGUUUUGGUGCAAAAAGUUUUUAUCCACCUCUGGUGAAAAAGACAAAUUUUCGCCGAUUCAAUUGGAAGCGGGUCAAAUUUGAACUGCAGCUGCCUCAUAGUUUGCUAUUUAUUUUUUCCAAAAAUCAUUUCUAGGUACAUAAGUAUCUAUUUAAUCAGAGAAACACUAAAAAAAUUCCAAGAUUCAACCACUAGCUAGGAACGGUCAAGCCCGCCGUUUUGACCGCAUUUUUAAACAAGCAUAAAAAAUUCAAAAAAAAUCAAAAAAUUGGAAAACCUUCGCAUUGUGUCAUUAUAUGUGACCAAGUUCCCAGGAAAAAUAACAAACUUGUAAUACGGCAAUUAUUUUAAAAAAGUGUUCUCAGAACUGAGCUAUCAUCUCUGAAGAUUCAUGGCCUUCAAGCCAAAUGAUCAAUCUUAUGGCCACAUUCGUGGCAUAGUUUGUUCAAAUGAUCUCAUAUUGUGCACAAGGAUGCAUAUUGGAAUGGCAAACAAUGUUGCCUAAGGAAGUUUUCAUUUUCUUUGGACGAAAAAACCAUUUUUCAUUUUUCGAGUGCCCAAAAGGAGGUUUUUUUGUGAAGGAACUACCAAAUAAUUGUUGCAAAAUUGGACCAAAUCAAUUUUCUAAAAUACUAGGACAUAUUUAAUGCACAAUUGACAAAAUGGUUGGGUGCAAAAAGUUUUUAUCCACCUCUCAUGAAAAAGACAAAUUUCCGCCGAUUCAGUUGGAAGCGGGUCAAAUUUGAACUGCAGCUGCCUCAUAGUUUGCUAUUUAUUUUUUCCAAAAAUCAUUUCUAGGUACAUAAGUAUGUAUUUAAUCAGAGAAACACCAAAAAAAUCCAAGAUUCAGCCACUAGCUAGGAACGGUCAAGCCUGCCGUUUUGACCGCAUUUUGAAACAGGCAUAAAAAAUUCAAAAAAAAUCAAAAAAUUGGAAAACCUUCGCAUUGUGUCAUUAUAUGUGACCAAGUUCCCAGGAAAAAUAACAAACUUGUAAUACGGCAAUUAUUUUAAAAAAGUGUUCUCAGAAAUGAGCUAUCAUCUCUGAAGAUUCAUGGCCUUCAAGCCAAAUGAUCAAUCUUAUGGCCACAUUCGUGGCAUAGUUUGUUCAAAUGAUCUCAUAUUGUGCACAAGGGUGCAUAUUGGAAUGGCAAACAAUGUUGCCUAAGGAAGUUUUCAUUUUCUUUGGACGAAAAAACCAUAUUUCAUUUUUCGAGUGCCCAAAAGGAGGUUUUUUGUGAAGGAACUACCAAAUAAUUGUUGCAAAAUUGGACCAAAACAAUUUUCUAAAAUACUAGGACAUAUUUAAUGCACAAUUGACGAAAUGGUUGGGUGCAAAAAGUUUUUAUCCACCUCUCGUGAAAAAGACAAAUUUCCGCCGAUUCAGUUGGAAGCGGGUCAAAUUUGAACUGCAGCUGCCUCAUAGUUUGCUAUUUAUUUUUUCCAAAAAUCAUUUCUAGGUACAUAAGUAUCUAUUUAAUCAGAGAAACACCAAAAAAAAUUCCAAGAUUCAACCACUAGCUAGGAACGGUCAAGCCCGCCGUUUUGACCGCAUUUUGAAACAAGCAUAAAAAAUUCAAAAAAAAAUCAAAAAAUUGGAAAACCUUCGCAUUGUGUCAUUAUAUGUGACCAAGUUCCCAGGAAAAAUAACAAACUUGUAAUACGGCAAUUAUUUUAAAAAAGUGUUCUCAGAAAUGAGCUCUCAUCUCUGAAGAUUCAUUGCCUUCAAGCCAAAUGAUCAAUCUUAUGGCCACAUUCGUGGCAUAGUUUGUUCAAAUGAUCUCAUAUUGUGCACAAGGGUGCAUAUUGAAAUGGCAAACAAUGUUGCCUAAGGAAGUUUUCAUUUUCUUUGGACGAAAAUACCAUUUUUCAUUUUUCGAGUGCCCAAAAGGAGGUUUUUUUGUGAAGGAACUACCAAAUAAUUAUUGCAAAAUUGGACCAAAUCAAUUUUCUAAAAUACUAGGACAUAUUUAAUGCACAAUUGACAAAAUGGUUGGGUGCAAAAAGUUUUUAUCCACCUCUCAUUAAAAAGACAAAUUUCCGCCAAUUCAGUUGGAAGCGAGUCAAAUUUGAACUGCAGCUGCCUCAUAGUUUGCUAUUUAUUUUUUCGUAAAAUCAUUUCUAGUUACAUAAGGACCUAUUUAAUAAUAAAUACAUGGUUUGGUGGUGAUACGUCGAGGUUUGGGCGGCGGCCGAGGGCCCCAACUCUAGAGCGCGUAAACUCGCAUGCCCGCCGCGUGGUCACCGCACGACCGUGACGUCGCCUUGUUUUCUGCGCAGCCUAGGCAUGUCUAGUGGGUUGGGCACUCCUCAGGUUGGUGCUAGGAAGAAAAUUACAACAUAAGAUUCUCACGAGGAGACCAAUCGAUGCUCAAACAUGAAUUAGCAGCCAAGUGUUUGAUUAGCGGUACGGGAAAUGCACGUUACCAAUGGGCGUGAGUUUUGGCUGAGGAUGAUCAUCUACUAAGGGGAAUGUAUUCACACAUUUUUAGCUCAAAAGGAGGAUCCUAGGUUGUACUUGCUUUGCAAAGUACCACGCUGGACAAAAAUAUGAAUGUUGAAGCUGGGCUCAAAAUAAUAAAUGGAUUGAGCUGAAAUUUUCUGGAGGAUGGUUAUUUGGGCAUAGGAAAGCAUUGUAGAAAAUUGAUACCAUUUGGACAUGCCAAAGUAGUACUUCCUUCACAAUGCUCUUCUAUGGACAGAAACUUGGGAAAACUAGUGAGAGAGAUUGGUUGAAUGAAAUGAGCUCAAAAUUGGUGUAGGUAAGUUAUUUAGGUAUGGUCAUGCGCUGGUCAAUUUUCAGAUCAUUUGGGUAAGCCUAGCUAGUACUUACUUCACAAAGCUUCUCUCGAGGUAGAAACUUUGGAAAUUUCCCGAGAAAGAUUUACUAGGAAAAUUGAGCUGAAUAUUAUCAUGUGGCAAUGAUUUGGGUAUGGAAGAGUGCCCGAAAAGUUUGAGGGUAAUAGGAGGGGUCUAUAUAACACUUGCUUUGCAACGUGCCAAUUUGGCCAUAAAAUAUAAAUUGAACCUGGGCUCACAUAGAUGAUUUGACUGAUCUGCAAUUUGGAGGAGGGCAAUAAUUUGGGCAUAUGAAGAAACUGUAUAAAUUUCAUGUCAUUUAGAGAUAUAAAAAAGGUACUUCCUUCACAAUGCUUCUAGGUGGACAAAAACUUUGGAAAUUUGCCGAGGAAGAUUUGCUAGGCAAAUGGAGCUGAAUUUUGUCAUGCGGUAAAGAUUUGGAUAGGAAAGAGUGCCCAAAAAUUCUUAGGGCAAUCAAGAAUAUAUAAAUAGCACUUCCUUCAUAAAGUGUUGUUGUGAACAUAAUAGGAAAAUGAAUAUUGUUGAAUUAGUUUUGAACUAGGCAAGGAAGGAUUUUUACAUAUUUGAUGAAGAUAUGACCCAAAGAAUUUAUGAGAUUUUUUUGGGAAUUUUGGGAAUGAUAUAAAUAUAGGUUGCUUCACAACCUAGGGCAAAAACUGCCACAUGAACAUGACACAUAGGCAAAACUGAUGAGAUGGCGCCUAGUCAUCACAACCCACCACAAUCUACAAGGCUAUGACCAUCUAUAUUGGUCAUUAACAACUAGAAAUAAGGCAGCGGACUAGCACUGUUUGCUUUGUGACCAUUUCAUGUAAGGAAAUUACGACCUUUCUGACCAAAAUGGUCGCAAUGGUUUAGGGUUUGAAGCCCCCUGAACAGCUUUUGACCAAUUGGUCUAAAAUGGUCAUAAAUUUAUGACCAAUUCUUCGAGGGUCACUGACAGAAGGUCAUAAGUUGACAUAUCUCUUGUAGUGUGCAAUGAGAUGAAAUAAUGUACUCUGUGAAAUCAACAUUUUGAUAUGCUAUAAGUUAUCAUGUAGAGAUAUAGCAUGAUAAAAAACGCAAAAAAACUAGGGUUUGGGACGAAAAAGUCAACUGAGAGGGAGUUUGCAGAUCCAGAUCGGGAUCUCGCGGGUACUGUAGCGGCACAGAGUCCGAGGUUCGUCGCUGGAUUUGGGCCGGCCGGAGUUGGACGGCGAGGCGGACGGAGAGAGGGAGGCGCCGGAGUGGGGCGACGCCGGCCGGUGAGGAGGAGGCGNNNNNNNNNNNNNNNNNNNNNNNNNNNNNNNNNNNNNNNNNNNNNNNNNNNNNNNNNNNNNNNNNNNNNNNNNNNNNNNNNNNNNNNNNNNNNNNNNNNNNNNNNNNNNNNNNNNNNNNNNNNNNNNNNNNNNNNNNNNNNNNNNNNNNNNNNNNNNNNNNNNNNNNNNNNNNNNNNNNNNNNNNNNNNNNNNNNNNNNNNNNNNNNNNNNNNNNNNNNNNNNNNNNNNNNNNNNNNNNNNNNNNNNNNNNNNNNNNNNNNNNNNNNNNNNNNNNNNNNNNNNNNNNNNNNNNNNNNNNNNNNNNNNNNNNNNNNNNNNNNNNNNNNNNNNNNNNNNNNNNNNNNNNNNNNNNNNNNNNNNNNNNNNNNNNNNNNNNNNNNNNNNNNNNNNNNNNNNNNNNNNNNNNNNNNNNNNNNNNNNNNNNNNNNNNNNNNNNNNNNNNNNNNNNCACAUGGCGGAGCGCGGUAGGUCGGGCGGCGGCGGGCGGACGUGUCCGGUCCUCUCCGGACACGUCCGAUGGCAGGAGGAGGAAGAGGCUAGGUUUAGGGGUGUUUUGACCCGAAAUUUCGGGGGAAGGUCUAGUUUUAUAGGUAGGAAGAGCUAGGAAGCUCCAAAUGGAGUGUGGUUUUUAGCCACGCGAUCGUGAUUGAACGCUCUAGAUGAUGGAGAAGGUUUUGGUGGGUUUUGGGCCAAAAUGGAGAGGUCUUGGGCUACAACACACACGAGGCCUUUUCGGUCCCUCGGUUAACCGUUGGGGCAUCAAACGAAGUGCAAAUGGUACGAACCUUGACGAGCGGCCUACCUGUAGUAAACCAAGGCCGCUUGGCAAGUCUCGGUCCAGUCCGGAAAUGUUUAAUACCCACACAUGAAAGAAAGGUAGAAAUGACCACCGGAGGAGAACGGAGCGCUGGAAUGCAAAACGGACAACGGGGAAAAUGCUCGAAUGCAUGAGAUGAACACGUAUGCAAAUGCAAUGCACAUGAUGACAUGAUAUGAGAUGCAUGAAAACAAUAACAACACACAGAGACAAAGACCCGAACCCAAGAAAAUAAAAUAACUUAACGCCGGAAACGGCAAGAGUUGGAGUACAUAUUGGGAAAAUCAUAUCCGGGGUGUUACAACACUCCACCACUACGAAAGGAUCUCGUCCCGAGAUCUAGGACUGAAAGAACGCCGGGUAUUCAGAACGGAGGUGAUCCUCGCGUUCCCAGGUAGCUUCACGGUCGGAAUGGUGUGACCACUUGACUUUGAGGAAUUUGAUUGACUUGUUGCGAGUCUUGCGUUCUGUCUGUUCAAGAAUAGCCACGGGGUGCUCACAAUAAGAGAGGUCUUCUUGGAGCUCAAUGUCCUCGAAGUUGACGGUGCGGUCAGGAGUCUUGAAGCACUUUCGGAGCUGAGAGACAUGGAACACGUCAUGAACAUUUGCAAAGUUUGAAGGAAGCUCGAGUUGAUAGGCGAGAUCGCCUCUCUUGCUGACAAUCUUGAAAGGUCCCACGUAUCUAGGGGCAAGCUUCCCUUUGAUACCGAAGCGACGAGUACCUUUCAUAGGAGAGACGCGGAGGUAAACAUGAUCUCCGAUCUCGAAAGCCAAAUCACGGUGCUUACUAUCAUAGUAGCUCUUCUGGCGGGAUUAGGCUGCUUUGAGGUUAUCUCGAAUGACUUUGCACAUUUCCUUUGCCUCUGUGAUUAAGUCAUUUCCCAGAAGCUGACGUAUACCGGUUUCAGACCAGUUGAGAGGGGUACGGCACUUCCUGCCAUACAGAAUUUCAAAUGGGGCCUUGCCCGAACUUGCUUGAAAACUGUUAUUGUAGGAGAAUUCAGCAUAAGGGAGACAAUCCUCUCACUUCAUGCCGAAGGAGAUCACACAAGCCCUGAGCAUAUCUUCAAGAAUCUGGUUGACACACUCGAUUUGACCGCUAGUUUGAGGAUGGAAAGCUGUGCUGAAGCGGAUGUUGGUGCCCAUGGCCUUCUGAAAAGAAUCCCAAAACUUGGAGGUAAAGAUGCUGCCACGGUCUGAAGAGAUCACUUGUGGAAUACCAUGCAGAGAGACAAUUCGAGAGGUAUAGAGAUCCGCCAAUUGAGCUGCGGUGAUUGACUCUUUGAUAGGCAGAAAGUGAGUCACUUUACUGAGUUUGUCGAUGACAACGAAUAUAGCAUCAUUUCCACGUUUGGACUUUGGAAACCCAGUCACAAAGUCCAUCUCAAUGUGGUCAAACUUCCAUUCUGGAAUGGCAAUAGGUUGGAGGAGACCCGCUGGUCUUUGGUGUUCUGCCUUCACUCUUCUGCAGACAUCACACUCAUUCACGAAUUGAGCAAUCUCGCGCUUCAUUUGAGUCCACCAAUAAGCCUGCUUGAGGUCCUGAUACAUCUUCGUGCUCCCAGGGUGGAUGGAGAGGAGAUAAUUGUGAGCCUCGUUCAUGAUUACUUUAUGAAGGUCACCUUUGGGCACAACAAUACGAUCCUCGAAGAAGAAAGUAUCCUUGUCAUCAAGGCGGUAGCACUUGUACUUGGGUUGACUCUUGGCAAUCCCAAUCUUCACCUUUUUCACCAUAGCAUCAAGAAGCUGAGCUUGGCGAAUCUGGUCUUCCAAGGUAGGAGAGACUUGAAGGUUGGCGAGGAAACCUUGAGGAACAACUUGCAGAUUAAGUUUGCGGAAAGCUUCACAAAGCUCGGGUUGAUAAGGCUUGAGAAUCAGACUGUUGCAAUAAGCCUUCCUGCUCAAUGCGUCAGCAAUCAGAUUGGCCUUGCCUGGAGUAUACUCGAUACUCGGAUUAUACUCUUGAAUCAUUUCGACCCAUCGAGUUUGCCUAAGGUUGAGAUUAGGCUGCGUGAAGAUGUACUUGAGACUCUUGUGAUCAGUGAAAAUGUCCACUUUUCUUCCCAAUAAGAGAUGUCUCCAAGUCAAAAGAGCAUGCACAACUGCCGCCAACUCGAGAUCAUGAGUGGGGUAAUUCUUCUCGUUGGGAGUCAACUGGCGAGAUGUAUAAGCCACAACUUUCUUCUCUUGCAUCAACACUGCGCCAAGACCUUGGAGAGAGGCAUCGCAAAAGACCUCAUACGGCUUGGAUUCAUCAGGCAGAGUCAGAACUGGAGCAGUGACCAAUUUCUCUUUCAAAGUGUUGAAAGCAAUGUCACACUCUAGAGACCAAACAUACUUGACGUGCUUCUGGAGAAGAUUUGAGAGAGGUUUCGCGAUCUUAGAAAAGUUUUCAACGAAUCUUCGACAGUAGCUUGCGAGACCGAGGAAGCUACGGAGUUGCUUCACGUUCUGAGGUGGUUCCCAAUUCACAAUUGCAGACACCUUCUCAGGAUUCACCGCAAUGCCCUUGGCAGAGAUGAUAUGACCAAGAUAAAGAACCUCAUCAAGCCAAAAUUCGCACUUGGUGUAGAACUUGUGUUCCCUCAGCUUAUCGAGUACCAAAUGCAAGUGCUUGGCAUGAUCUUCCUUGUUCUUCGAAAAGACCAGAAUGUCGUCGAGAUAGACCAAAAUGAAAUCAUUGGUGUAGGCGUUGAAGAUGAAGUUCAUCAUGCGAGAGAAAGUCGGAGGAGCGUUGACGAGGCCAAAAGACAUGACAGUGUAUUCGUAUGAACCAAAGCUUGUCCUGAAAGCCGUCUUGGGAAUAUCUUCCUCGCGGAUUUGAAUCUGAUGAUAACCCAUACGGAGAUCAAGCUUCGAGAAUACUUGGGCACCUUUGAGUUGUUCGAACAGCUCAUUGAUGUUGGGAAGUGGGUAUUUGUUCUUGAUGGUCUCCUUGUUCAAUGGACGGUAAUCGACACAAAGUCGGUCCGUUCCAUCCUUCUUCUUCACAAAAAGAACACCACAACCCCACGGAGAAGAACUAGAUCGGAUGAGACCCAUUCUCUCUUGAAUAUCGAGUUGCUUCUUCAGCUCCUUCAACUCUUCAGGUCCAAGCUUGUAAGGACGCUUGCACACAGGUUCCGUGCCAGGCUCAAGAUCGAUGACGAAUUCAACUAGCCGGUGGGGAGGCAUUCCUGGAAGCUCUUCUGGAAAGACGUCUUGAUACUCGCAAACGACUGGAAUUUCUGAGAUGGCAUCCAGUUCACCCUUGUCAUUGAGAGAAAAUAGACAGAUGGUAUCAUCCCGAGCGGCAAAGACAAUUACAUCCUCAGACGAAUGGGUCAAUUGAAUCUGCCUGGCUGCACAAUCAAGCUGAGCCUUGUGCUUAGAAAGACAAUCCAUUCCGAGAAUAAGAUCAAUGUCCGAGUCACCAAGAACGUUUGGAGAAGACAAGAACUUAUAGUCACCCAAAGUGAUUGUAACAUCCAGAACACAUACUCGAGAUAUCAUUUGACGGGCCGGAGAGACAAUAGCCAACGGUUUCGACAACACUUGAGUAACAAAAUCAUGCUUAGAUGCAAAAGGUCUCGACAUGAAACAAUGUGAUGCACCAGUGUCAAAAAGAACUCUUGCAGGAAUAUCAUUAAUAGGAAGGUUACCCAUGAUGACAUCUGACGAUUCCUCUGCCUGAGCUGUGUUCAUCAAGUUGACCUUGGCGAGCUUGGGGUUAUGCUUGACCACAGCUGUACUUGCCGAUCUCACAGGAGGAGGAGGAGGAGGAAGACGCCUCUGGUUGAAGCAUUUGUUGGCAUAGUGACCCUUCUGUUGGCACUUGUUGGACGUGACCUCUGAAAGCGUACGGUGAUACGGAGCACUUGAUCUUGGAGCUUGAGACGAAGUCUUGUUCUGAAAGCCAGGGUUGGGUGGGUGGGAAGAUCCACUGCCACCUUUGCUCUUCUGAUACGGCUGACGGAACAGAGGAGGAGGAAGCCAAUGCUUCUGCUGCUUGGCCACUUGAGUAGAGGAAGAAGGAGUAGCAUCUCUGACUCGCUUCUUGGAAGCAUCACACCUCAGUUGAGCGGCCUCUUGCUUCAAUGCCAUGUUGUAGAACUCAUCGUAUCUCAAGGGCUCAAAGAGGACAAGAGCUAGCUGAAUUUCUUCCCUAAGACCACCCCUGAACUGGUAUAUCAUGCUCUUCUCGUCGGGGACGUCCUGCUUAGCAAAGCGGGCGAGCUUCUGAAACAACUUGUUGUAGUCAUAGACAGACAAAGAGCCUUGCUUCAGGUUGUGGAAUUCCUCACGCUUGCUCUCAACCACGCUCUGAGGAAUAUGAUGAGCUUUGAAGUCUUGACGGAAUUCAUCCCUGGUAAUCACACGACCUCCUCUAGAAUCCUUGUACUGCUAGAACCAUUUUACAGCUUGAUCUUUGAGUUGGAAGGAAGCGAACUUGACAAAGUCCUCAGGCCUGACGUUUCUGCACUCGAAAUGCUUGCCCAGAUCCACAAGCCAAUCGUCAGCAUCAGUUGCCUCAACACAAUUGCUGAAAGUCUUUGGCCCAUUAGCAAGGAACUGGUUGAGUGUAGCAAAGUGAUUCUGAUUGUUGCCUUGGUUGCCUUGGUUCGCUUGAUUGCGCUCUUGAAGAAUUUGCAUGAUCAACUAUGUGUUUGCAUUGGUUGCGGCCAUCACAGCUUGCCAUGCCUCCGGAGGAGGAGGAGGCGGUGGCGGAUCCUGAUUCUAAUUCUGAUUGGUGCUCUUAGUGGGAGCCAUCCUGAAUAGGGUGACAGCCGUUAGCACAUUGAUAGAUAAAUAUUGAAGCUGAAUCAAAUGGGUUGAAAUUGCAACAUAUAGUUUUCACAUCCGAACAAAAUGAACGAAUGCAUUCCACUAGAAAUGGUCACAUAUCCAUAAAUUGAGAAGCCACUUAGAAUUUAGGUAGAGGAAUAAACCAACAAGGUACGGAUCAAGAAUGAAUACUCGGUAAGAAAUCCCAAUCUCAAACCAAAUAUCCGUGGAAGAAGAGCUAGAGCUACAAGAAUUCCCACCUAUGAAACUCCCGAACCUUUCCAGUUAUGCAAUCAGGUGUUGGGGAUACAGGGGAAGCAUAAUAUCUCACCCAAAUCUAGCAAUUCCUACAUCCAGCUGUAUCCAUCCUUCAACACAUAACCGAGAAAAACUUCGAAAACCAUCUACCUCAACCUUCGAAAAGCAUCCGUUAUACAAGUUAUGGCGAUACUCCCGAACUCCCGCCCCAGUAUUGGGUGGCGUCGAGGUUAUCUCACCAACGAACAGCAUAAAAGAGAUUUUCGAUGUCGGCAUGCUAAACUCAGGUAUUCCAGAACUGCAACGAUAAAAUUGUGAUGACAACACCUCGGAGCUCAACUCCCCAGGACACUGCCACAACCCCUAAAGACAGGAGGCACCAAGAACAAUGUUCUCGUCACAAAGCCAUCGGAACGAUUCCAAGAUACCCACAUGAUCCUAUUUUUUUGUGAAAUUUGAGAAGAGAAGAGUCAAAACUCUACGUCAGGAUGCCUUACCAGAGCGAUGAGGAGACUGAGGAGUAAAAAGAAUUCCUAAACUCUCCGAUAUAUAAUUCCUAAAUGACUCAAAACAUUUUUCUAGACUCAACUCGGCCGCUAAAAAUGAUCAAGCAAUGGGGCUCCUAUGGUUGGGGAAGGCUCUGAUUACCAACUUGUAUCACCCUCGAUGCGGCUAUAGCUCCCACGUGUCGAGGCACGACUUAGAGACAUAACCGCGUUGAAAGCAAUGUCGCAAGUUAGGUAAUCUUCACAACAUCCCAUGUAAUAUAGAUAAUAAAAGGGGAGAUACAUAGUUGGCUUACACUCACCACGUCAAUCAAAGUACAUAAAUAGCAUUACAACAAUCAAACACUCAUGGCCCGACUACGGCGCCAAAAUGAAAGAUAACCCAACGUGCGACAUGGUCCCGAUCACCCCCAACUGGGCACCACUACUGAUCAUCAGGGAAAGACACAUAGUAUCGGCGUGAGUCCUCGUCGAACUCCCACUUGAGCUCAAGCGCGUCAUCUGGAACGGAGUCAUCAGGCCCUGCAUCUGGUUUGGAAGUAAUUUGUGAGCCACAGGGACUCAGCAAUCGCGCACCCUCGCGAUCAAGACUAUUUAAGAUUAUGGGUAAGGCAAGGUAAAUAUGUGGAGCCGCAGCAAGCGACUAGCAUAUAUGGUGGCUAACCUGUUCGCGAAAGAGAGCGAGAAGAGGAGGCAAAGCGCGAACGAAUAACUAGAGGACAUCCUGCGGCAAGCAUUACUCCAACACCGUGUUCACUUCCCGGACUCCGCCGAGAAGAGACCAUCACGGUAACUCACACUGUUGAUUCAUUUUAAUUAUGUUAAGGUUCAAGUUAUCUACAACCGGACAUUAACAAAUUCCCAUCUGCCCAUAACCGCGGGCACGGCUUUCGAAAGUUCAAAUCCCUACAGGGGAGUCCCAACUUAGCCCGUGACAAGCUCUCACGGUCCAUGAAGGAAUAGACCUCCUCCCGAGACAUUCCGAUCAGACUCGGUUUCCCGGUUCUACAAGACACUUCGACAAGUUAACACAAAUCCAGCAACACCGCCCGAAUGUGCCGACAAAUCCCGAUAGGAGCUGCACAUAUCUCGUUCUCAGGGCACAAUCGGAUAAGCAAUUCGUACAACUAAAACCAGCCCUCGAGUUUCCCCGAGGUGGCGCUGCAAGGGGCUCUAGAAUGGACCAACACUCAGAGGAGCACUGGCCCGGGGGGGUUUAAAUAAGAUGACCCUCGGGCUCCGGAAACCCAAGGGAAAAAGAGGCUAGGUGGCAAAUGGUAAAACCAAGGUUGGGCAUUGCUGGAAAAGCUUUAAUCAAGGCGAACUAUCAAGGGGUUCCCAUUAUCACCCAACCGCGUAAGGAACGCAAAAUCCGGGAACAUAACACCGAUAUGACGGAAACUAGGGCGGCAAGAGUGGAACAAAACACUAGGCGAGAGGCCGAGCCUUCCACCCUUUACCAAGUAUAUAGAUGCAUUAAGAUAACAUGGCAAUAUAAUGAUAUCCCAACAAGUAAAUAAUGUUCCAACAAGGAACGGUCUCCAAUCUUCACCUGCAACUAGCAACACUAUAAGAGGGGCUGAGCAAAGCGGUAACAUAGCCAAUCAACAGUUUGCUAGGACAUGGUGGGUUAGAGGUUGAACAUGGCAAUUUGGGAGGCAUGAUAAGCAAGUGGUAGGCAUCGUAGCAUAGGCAUAGCAAAAGAGCGACCAUCUAGCAAAGCAAAGAUAGUAGUGAUUUCAAGGGUAUGAUCAUCUUGCCUGCAAAGUUGUCUGAGUUGACUGGAUCCUCGAAAGCAAACUCAACGGGCUCCUCGUUAGCGAACUCAUCUCCUGGCUCUACCCAAACAAGACAAAUAAGCAACAAGGACACAAUCAACCACAUGCAAACUCAAACAACAUGAUGCAAAGAUGAUAUGCUAUGCGGGAUGCAAUAUGGGAUGCAUAUGCAAGACUUGACGAGGAAUGAAUGAACCUGGCCUCAACAUGGAAAUACAAGUGUGCCACUGUAAAGGUGAGAUGAAAUCGCUUGAAAACGAUAUAAAGAACGCCGGAAUCGGAGUUACGGUUUGGAAAUGGCAAGCAAUUCAAAUAUGACCAUGUUCUGCGAUUUACAGCAAGUAGCCAUCUAAAUGCAACAAGAUGAACAUUCCACAGCACCCAAACAUGACAAAAAAAAUACAUGGCAGGGAUCCACUCAUGAUGCUUAACAAAAUACUAGCACUGAGCUACGGCCAAUUCAUCCAUUAACAGGUUCAAACAAGUGUGGCAAAAAUGCAUUUGAUAAACAGAUUUCAGACUUAGUGAAAUUAACACUUGUCUGGAAUUUCAGUUCAGAUAGCACUAUUUGGAGCAUGAAAACAAUAUACUACAGGACCUGAACAUGACAAAGUAAAGCAUGACAUGGAGGUACUCAAAGAGCUUAACAAAAGUCCCUUAGUGACCUUGAGCGAAAAGGGAUCAGAAAAUACAUGUGGAAGCAUGCGAACAUGGCAAAAACAUAAUCAGUUCUCAGACUUAGUGAAAACUGGAGCAUGCUGAAACAGAUAUCAAGUAAGCAUGUUUACGAGCUCGAUGCACUCACUACAGAGCAAGUCAUAACAAUCUAAGCAUACACACAUCAAGAAUACACAAAAUACAAGCUAGACAUGGCACGAACAAUAACAUAGCAUGCAUGGAUCAACUACAACAUCCUCGGUAAAAUUGCUAACAAGUAGACAAUCUGCCCAGAUUCACGAAAUAGCAAAAGUAGAGCUCGAUUGACUCAAUCUAGGGUGCUCCAUAAUUGCAAACAAAGACAUAGAUGGAUAUAGCACUACAAGAUUAACAAAACAUCCUUACUGAUCAUCCUCAAAAGAGGCACGGAUCACUAGGAAUCAACAUGAACAUAUGGCAUACUGAGAUAACCAGUCCAAGGACUUGGUGGAAAUGCUAAGUCCCUGAAAUCAGCAUUAACGAAUGCUCCACUUUGCAAGCUUGUGCUAGUCACCACACACAUCACAAAAAUACAUGGGUUGCACCUCUGGAUAGAUGGCAAAACAUAUAACAAAACUCAUGUAGAGCUCAGGGGCAUAUCAUGCACACAAUAAUCAUGGCAAAAAUGACAAAUAUCUAAUUGGAGCAUCAGAUCUGACAAUUAUCUCAAAUAGCACUCUUCCAACAGCAUUCGGGCAUCAAGAUGAACUCAAAUGAAAAUGAUGCAAUGAGAUGAAAUGAUGUACUCUCUAAGAUGAACAUUUUGAUAUGCUAUAUGCCCAAAACGGAGCUACAGAUGCGGAGAUAUAGCAUGAUGAAAAACGCACAAAAACUAGGGUUAGGGACGAGAAAGUCAACCGAGAGGGAGUUUCCAGAUCCAGAUCGGGAUCUCGCGAGUACUGUAGCGGCAUGGAGUCUGAGGUUCGUCACCGGAUUUGGGCUGGCCAGAGUUGGACGACGAGGCGGCCGGAGAGAGGGAGGCGCCGGAGGUGGGCGGCGCCGGCCGGUGAGGUGGAGGCGGCCGCGGUCGUCGACGAGGUAGCGCGGCGGGGCGGUGACCGGAGCGGCGCGGUCGCCGGCGAGGUCGAGCUGUGGCGCGGUAGCGCGGGUCGCUGAAGACGGAGGAGAGGGGCGGCGCGGUGAGCCGGAGAGGAGGCGGGGCGGAGCGGGCCGCGGGGGCCGGGGUUGGGCCCGGCGGGCUUCUGCGAUGUGGGGCGCGCCGGCGCCACAUGGCGGAGGGCGGUAGGUCGGGCGGCGGCGGGCGGAAGUGUACGGUCCGCUCCGGACACGUCCGGCGGCGGGAGGAGGAAGAGGCUAGGUUUAGGGGUGUUUUGACCCGAAAUUUCGGGGGGAGGUCUAGUUUUAUAGGUAGGAGGAGCUAGGAAGCUCCAAAUGGAGUCCGGUUUUCGGCCAUGCGAUUGUGAUUGAACGCUCUAGAUGAUGGAGAAGGUUUUGGUGGGUUUUGGGCCAAAAUGGAGAGGUGUUGGGUUGCAACACACACGAGGCCUUUUCGGUCCCUCGGUUAACCGUUGGAGCAUCAAACGAAGUCCAAAUGGUACGAAACUUGACAGGCGGCCUACCGGUAGUAAACCAAGGCUGCUUGGCAAGUCUCGGUCCAAUCCGGAAAUGUUUAAUCCCCACAUACGAAAGAAAGGUAGAAAUGACCACCGGAGGAGAACGGAGCGCCGGAAUGCAAAACGGACAACGGGGAAAAUGCUCGAAUGCAUGAGAUGAACACGUAUGCAAAUGCAAUGCACAUGAUGACAUGAUAUGAGAUGCAUGACAAUGAUAACAACACACGGAGACAAAGACCCGAACCCGAGAAAAUAAAAUAACUUAACGCCGGAAACGGCAAGAGUUGGAGUACAUAUUGGGAAAAUCAUAUCCGGGGUGUUACAGUUUUCCUCUCCUCCACUUCACCCUUGCCGUUUUAUUCGCCCUCUCUCUCUAUCCUCCCUCUCUUUCUCUAUUUGCCUCUUUUUGCCCGUUUCUCGUUUGCUUGUGUGUUGGAUUGCUUGCUUGUCAUGAUGGCUCAAGAUAACAUUAAAUUGUGUGACUUUACCAAUACCAACAACAAUGAUUUUAUUAGCACUCUGAUUUCUCCUCUUACCGAUGCUGAAUCUUGUGAAAUUAAUGCUGCCUUGCUGAAUCUUGUCAUGAAAGAUCCAUUUUUCGGCCUUCCUAGUGAAGAUGUCGCUACCCAUCUAAAUAGCUUCGUUGAUUUGUGUGAUAUGCAAAAGAAGAAAGAUGUGGAUAAUGAUAUUGUUAAACUGAAGCUAUUUCCUUUUUCUCUUAGAGUUCGUGCUAAAGCUUUGUUUUCGUCUUUGCCUAAAAUAGUUUUGAUUCGUGGAAUAAGUGCAAAGAUGCUUUUAUCUCUCAGUAUUUUCCUCCCGCUAAGAUCAUCUCUCUUAGAAACGAUAUUAUGAAUUUUAAGAAACUUGAUCAUGAACAUGUUGCACAAGCUUGGGAGAGGAUGAAAUUAAUGAUACGUAAUUGCCCAACACAUGGUUUGAAUUUGUGGAUGAUUAUACAAAAAAUUUACGCCGGAUUGAAUUUUUCUUCUAGAAAUCUUUUAGAUUCGGCCGCGGGAGGCACUCUUAUGGAAAUCACUUUAGGAGAAGCUACUAAACACCUAGAUAAUAUUAUGGUUAAUUAUUCUUAAUGGCACACUGAAAGAUCUACUAAUAAAAAAGUGCAUGUGAUAGAAGAAAUUAAUGUUUUGAGUGGAAAGAUGGAUGACUUAUGAAAUUAUUUUCUAAUAAAAGUGUUUCUUCUGAUCCAAAUGAUACGCCUUUGUAUACUUUGAUUGAGAAUAAUAAUGAAUCUAAGGAUGUGAAUUUUUUUUGGUAGGAACAAUUUUGGUAACAACGCGUAUAGAGAAAAUUUAAUCCUAGGCCUUAUCCUAGUAAUUCCUCUAAUAAUUAUGGUAAUUCCUACAACAAUUCUUAUGGAAAUUAUAAUAAUGCCCUCUGAUUUUGAAUAUAAUAUUAAAGAAUUUAUUAUUUCGCAAAAGAAUUUCAAUGCUUUGAUUGAAGAAAAUUUGCAUAAGACUGAUGAGUUGGCUAGGAACGUUGAUAGAAUUUCUCUUGAUGUUGAUUCUUUGAAACUUAGAUCUAUUCCACCUAAGCAUGAUAUCAAUGAGUCUCUCAAAACCAUGAGAAUUUGCAUUGAUGAGUGCAAAGAAAGAACCGCUAGGAUGCGUGCUAAGAAAGAUUCCUUUAUAAGAGCGUGUUCUUCUAGUUUCCAUGAUAAUAAAGAUGAAGAUCUAAAAGUUAUUGAUGUGUCCCCUAUUAAAUCUUUGUUUUGCAAUAUGAAUCUUGAUAAUGAUGGGACUGAAUAUGAUCCACCUUUACCUAGAAGGCGUUCCAAAAAUUCGGAGUUUUUAGAUCUUGAUGCUAAAAUUUAUAAAAGUGGGAUUAAAGAGAUCAAAACUCUAGAUACUAAUGAACCUACUAUUCGGAGUUUUUAUUGUAUUUCCUUGUUGCAAUCCGUGUUAAAUUCUCCUCAUGCUUAUAGUCAAAAUAAAGCUUUUACCAAACAGUUAUCAUGAAUAACUUCAACUAAAUGCAUCAAAUGUUACAAAUAAUACAUACAAACUUAGUUUAAUAAAUUAAUGAAUUAAAGCGAGAACAAACCUUCAAAUGUAAUUUAGAGUGAAUCAAUUAAGACCAUGUAAAGCUAUUACUAGUCCAAUAUUAAUUAAUAACUUGCACAUAAUUGCAACCAUUGACAUAAAAAGGGAAUAUGAUGAGUCAUGUAUUGAGAAUGUGUACAACAUUACUACCAUUGACAUAAAAGGAGAAUUUGAUGAGUCGUAUCAGCUUGUUCAUCUUACCAUUAUACUACACAACACUGCAAGCUAGUUUAAAAAAAAUAAGAGUACAGAAUGAACAUUAGAAUAGCCUGAUCUAUCUUUGACAACAUGCACAAGGAUACAAAUUUAGUCCCCAGCAAGCUAUGAAGAUUUGGUUUAUGUCUAACAACUUGUACAACAAGAUAAACUUAGAUCCAAAAGGAUUGCAAUCCAGAUAAUUGUUUGACAUGUAAAGUCGAUAAGAUGAGUCAGUGCCAAUUAUCAUGUUUUCGUCACUCUUAGAUGAUAUGUACAAUAAAAGGCAACUUUGAUGACCACUCCAAAAUUACAUUUGUAUGUAGUGCCACCAAACACAACACACCAAAUAAUCAGUUUGAUAAGCAUCAAAUCACUUUAAAAAAAUAAAAGCUAUAAUGAAAAGAAACCUAACCAUGGUAGCUAUAAAAAGGAUGCAAUAUGUAGACUCCAUACCAUCAUCCAUCCUUCACACAACUAGAGCACAAGUAUCAAAUCCAAUUAAGUAGUAGCCAACACAAAUCCACCAUGAAGACCUUAUUCAUCCUAACAAUCCUUGCGAUGGCAACAACUAUCGCCACCGCGAAUAUGCAGGUCGACCCCAGCGGCCAAGUACAAUGGCCACAACAACAACCAUUCCGCCAGCCCCAACAACCAUUCUACCAGCAACCACAACACACAUUUCCCCAACCCCAACAAACAUUCCCCCAUCAACCACAACAACAAUUUCCCCAGCCCCAGCAACCACAACAACAAUUUCCGCAGCCCCAGCAACCACAACAACCAUUUCCCCAGCCCCAACAAGCCCAACUACCAUUUCCCCAACAACCACAACAACCAUUCCCCCAGCCUCAACAACCCCAACAACCAUUUCCCCAGUCACAGCAACCACAACAACCUUUUCCCCAGCCCCAACAACCGCAACAAUCAUUCCCCCAGCAACAACAACCGUUGAUUCAGCCAUAUCUACAACAACAGAUGAACCCUUGCAAGAAUUACCUCUUACAGCAAUGCAACCCUGUGUCAUUGGUGUCAUCCCUCGUGUCAAUGAUCUUGCCACGAAGUGAUUGCCAGGUGAUGCAGCAACAAUGUUGCCAACAACUAGCACAGAUUCCUCGCCAGCUCCAGUGUGCAGCCAUCCAUAGCGUCGUGCAUUCCAUCGUCAUGCAGCAAGAACAACAACAAGGCAUACAGAUCCUCCGGCCACUGUUUCAGCUCGUCCAAGGUCAGGGCAUCAUCCAACCUCAACAACCAGCUCAAUAUGAGGUGAUCAGGUCAUUGGUAUUGAGAACCCUUCCAAACAUGUGCAACGUGUAUGUCCGACCUGACUGCUCCACCAUCAACGCACCAUUUGCCAGCAUAGUCGCCGGCAUCAGUGGACAAUGAAAAAUGAAGAGUUAUGCUAAUAGGUAGAUGGAUCAUCGUUGCUUAGCUGAUGCACCAGUCUUUGUAGCGAUGAGGAAUAAAGUGGCGUGCACCAUCAUGUGUGACCCCGACCAGAGCUAGUUCAAGCUUCAGAAUAAAACACAAACAAAGUUCUUGUUUGCUAGCUUCGCUUUUCACUGUUCCAUUUACUUUUUAUUUUCAUGUUCGUUCCUAACCGCAAUCCUAGCCUUACACAUCAAUAGCUAGCUACUUCUGCUGGCAGGUUACUAUUUAAUCUAUCGAUUAAUGGUCGAUGUAUUAAUCCAGUUAAUAGGUUGAUUGAUAUAUUAGUUACUGCUCCCAAGCCGACCGAGCGCUAUCAGUUAGGGAUUUCCUGAACAUUGCACACAAUAAUAAUUCAAUGUAUUUCAAUGUCUAGAAGUGAAAGGGCCAUUUUAGCACCAAAACAAGAGGCUGAUUAGAAACCAUCCAUCACUCUAAAUGUUAAUCUGAAUAUUUUUGCAUUGGUGCAAUUUUGAGUUUGGUGGCACCGAAGCAUUCUUCAAAAGCAAAUUUUAGGGGACUCCAAAGAGGUGAAAAUCAAACCAAAGUUGCCACAUGGUAAAAGAUAAACCAUGCGGUGAGCAAGAGAAAAUAAUUAGUCACAAUAGCAAGAACCAAACACUUGAUAUGAUUUCGUGCGGAGAUGGAAACAAUUUAUAUAUGACAAACAAAGCAUAAGUUGCAUUAGUUUUAAUUGAUUGUAGAAAUUUAUUUUACCUGUAGAAUAACUCAGUUGUUAUCUCUUUAAACAUGCAUUGUGAUAUUGACUUGUCUCAAUCUAUGAACACAAAGCAAAUAUUGCAUUUGCGGUUAUGGUCUCCAAACAGAUGAGAAAUCAGUCUGUGUAGAAAGUUCCUUAGAAGGAUAUUACUGAAUCAAGGAAAUAUUGUAGGAGUAAGAACUGGGGAAAGUAGUGGCUGCACCCACCCUCGGUGCACCCACGGUGCACUCACGCAAGAAAACAUAUCAGAACAUUUCGAAAAAAUCUGAAACUUCGUGGAGAUGAUCAUCAACAAAUGUCACGAGGGCUUGCAAAGUUUGGUGGUCAAAUAACAUUCAAGAAGCGCUCUACAAAAAAGACAAAAUUGCAAAAUCUGCUCAAACGGUGCACGUACAUUUUGACUAAUUUUCAGUGAUUUUGUCUUUUUUGUAGAGAGCUCCUCGAAUGUUAUUUGACCACCAAAUUUUGCAAGCCCCCAUAACAUUUGUUGAUGAUCAUUUCCACGAAGUUUCAGAUUUUUUCAAAAUGUUUUGAUAUGUUUUCUUGCGUGGGUGCACCGUGGGUGCACCGGGAGUGGGUGUAGAAGAACCACUCUCGUAAGAACUGGAAUGGGGAAAAACUGGAGCGCUUUAUCCAGCCUCCUCUCUAUAUUCUACAUGGAUAUCGUCUGUUACAUCUUAGCCCCCAACUGUUACAUGUUCACACAUUUAUAUAACUCAACAGGAUAUAAUAGUUUUGAGCUAAACAAAUUUACUAUUGUACUCAUGUCUUGCAUAGUUAAAGUUGAAAAUCAACGUAAGUAGUGGAUAGUUUGAAAGACAAGUGUGGGAAACAAAUAGUAGGAUAUAAAUUUGAGUAGAAUGUGUGAUCAAUUGUUGACCACAUAGCCCAGCAAACUACUAAAACUAAGAAAAACAAGAUAUUCUACCUUGUACAAACUGUCACAUUGAUAAAACUAUGAUUUGUUUUUGAAAAAUCUGUAGCCCGGAACUAAUAUAAAUUCAAACAAAUCUGUCACAGAUCCCUGAGCCCAUCCAAAAAUUAAUGGUAGUGGAAACUGAAAGAACUAUUAACACGAUUAGACCCAAAUGAUCUAUGUUCCAACAAUUAAUGAUAUUUGAAACUAAAACACGAGUGUUCUAUGUUCUACUACCUAUGUGUAUAAAUAUAAGACGUUUGGCGGUUUAAAAUGAACUGCCAAAAUGUCCUAUAUUAAGGAACAGCGGGUGUACCAAGUAUAUUCUAUGGUCCAAAUUUGUUCAUGUAAAGUGUAUCUUUAACUGAUGCCCUAAAAAAUAGCGGUGUAAUUAGCCGAGUAAAAGAUUUGUGGAGUAAAUUUACUCAACUAACUUUUGGCUGCACCUAACGGAUCUCCUAAAUUUAGCAGAAGUAAUAUUUUCUUGUCACAUUCAUUUCAUUUUCAGCCACUGAAAUAUAUCGGAAUACACAAUUAACAAAUUCUUCAUGAAAAAAAUGAAACCAAAAAAACUAAAACCACAAUUAGACACUUUAAUAGAAAUUCAACUUCCAUAACUGCUGCUGAAAGUUGGUAAACAGAUUUCAGACUUAGUGAAAUUAACGCUUGUCUGGAAUUUCAGAUCAGAUAGCACUCUUUGGAGCAUGAAAACAAUAUGCUACAGGACCUGAACAUGACAAAGUAAAGCAUGGCAUGGAGCUACUCAAAGAGCUUAACAAAAGUCCCUUAGUGACCUUGAUCCAAAAUGGAUUAGAAAAUACAUUUGCAAGCAUGUGAACAUGGCAAAAACAUAAUCAGUUCUCAGACUUAGUGAAAACUGGAGCAUGCUAAAACAGAUAUCAAGUAAGCAUGUUUACGAGCUUGAUGCACUCACUACAGAGCAAGUCAUGACAAUCUAAGCAUACACACAUCAAGAAUACACAAAAUAAAAGCUAGACAUGGCACGAACAAUAACAUAGCAUGCACGGAUCAACUACAACAUCAUCGGCAAAAUUGCUAACAAGUAGACAAUCUGCCCAGAUUCACGAAAUAGCAAAAGUAGAGCUCGAUUGACUCAAUCUAGGGUGCUCCAUAAUUUCAAACAAAGACAUAUAUGGAUAGAGCACUACAAGAUUAACAAAACAUCUUUACUGAUCAUCCUCAAAAGAGGCACGGAUCACUAGGAAUCAACAUGAACAUAUGGCAUAUUGAGAUAACCAGCCAAGGACUUAGUGGAAAUGCCAAGUCCCUGAAAUCAGCAUUAACGAAUGCUCCACUUUGCAAGCUUGUGCUAGUCACCACACACAUCACAAAAAUACAUGGGUUGCACCUCUGGAUAGAUGGCAAAACAUGUAACAAAACUCAUGUAGAGCUCAGGGGCAUAUCAUGCACACAAUAAUCAUGGCAAAAAUGACAAAUAUCUAAUUGGAGCAUCAGAUCUGACAAUUAUCUCAAAUAGCACUCUUUCAACAGCAUUUCGGGCAUCAAGAUUAACUCAAAUGAAAAUGAUGCAAUGAGAUGAAAUGAUGUACUCUCUGAGAUGAACAUUUUGAUAUGCUAUAUGCCCAAAACGGAGCUACAUAUGCGGAGAUAUAGCAUGAUGAAAAACGCACAAAACUAGGGUUAGGGACGAAAAAGUCAACCAAGAGGGAGUUUCCAGAUCCAGAUCGGGAUCUCACGAGUACUGUAGCGGCACGGAGUACGAGGUUCGUCGCUGGAUUUGGGCCGGCCGGAGUUGGACGGCGAGGCGGCCGGAGAGAGGGAGGCGCCGGAGUGGGGCGGCACCGGCCGGUGAGGAGGAGGCGGCCGCGGUCGUCGACGAGGUAGCGCGGCGGGGUGGCGACCGGAGCGGCACGGUCGCCGGCGAGGUUGAGCUGCGGCGCGGUGGCAUGGAUCGCCGGAGACGGAGGAGAGGGGCGGCGCGGUGAGCCGGAGAGGAGGCGGGGCGGAGCGGGCCGCGGGGGCCGUGGUUGGGCCCGGCGGGCUUCUGCGAUGUGGGGUGCGCCGGCGCAAUGUGGCGGAGCGCGGUAGGUCGGGCGGCAGCGGGCGGACAUGUCCGGUCCGCUCCGGANNNNNNNNNNNNNNNNNNNNNNNNNNNNNNNNNNNNNNNNNNNNNNNNNNNNNNNNNNNNNNNNNNNNNNNNNNNNNNNNNNNNNNNNNNNNNNNNNNNNNNNNNNNNNNNNNNNNNNNNNNNNNNNNNNNNNNNNNNNNNNNNNNNNNNNNNNNNNNNNNNNNNNNNNNNNNNNNNNNNNNNNNNNNNNNNNNNNNNNNNNNNNNNNNNNNNNNNNNNNNNNNNNNNNNNNNNNNNNNNNNNNNNNNNNNNNNNNNNNNNNNNNNNNNNNNNNNNNNNNNNNNNNNNNNNNNNNNNNNNNNNNNNNNNNNNNNNNNNNNNNNNNNNNNNNNNNNNNNNNNNNNNNNNNNNNNNNNNGAGCUAGGAAGCUCCAAAUGGAGUCCGGUUUUCGGCCAUGCGAUUGUGAUUGAACGCUCUAGAUGAUGGAGAAGGUUUUGGUGGGUUUUGGGCCAAAAUGGAGAGGUGUUGGGUUGCAACACACCCGAGGCCUUUUCAGUCCCUCGGUUAACCGUUGGAGCAUCAAACGAAGUCCAAAUGGUACGAAACUUGACAGGCGGCCUACCGGUAGUAAACCAAGGCCGCUUGGCAAGUCUCGGUCCAAUCCGGAAAUGUUUAAUCCCCACACACGAAAGAAAGGUAGAAAUGACCACCGGAGGAGAACGGAGCGCCGGAAUGCAAAACGGACAACGGGGAAAAUGCUCGAAUGCAUGAGAUGAACACGUAUGCAAAUGCAGUGCACAUGACGACAUGAUAUGAGAUGCAUGACAACGAUAACAACACACGGAGACAAAGACCCGAACCCGAGAAAAUAAAAUAACUUAACGCCGGAAACGACAAGAGUUGGAGUACAUAUUGGGAAAAUCAUAUCCGGGGUGUUACAGUUUUCCUCUCCUCCACUUCACCCUUGCCGUUUUAUUCGCCCUCUCUCUCUAUCCUCCCUCUCUUUCUCUAUUUGCCUCUUUUUGCCCGUUUCUCGUUUGCUUCUGUGUUGGAUUGCUUGCUUGUCAUGAUGGCUCAAGAUAACAUUAAAUUGUGUGACUUUACCAAUACCAACAACAAUGAUUUUAUUAGCACUCUGAUUUCUCCUCUUACCGAUGCUGAAUCUUGUGAAAUUAAUGCUGCCUUGCUGAAUCUUGUCAUGAAAGAUCCAUUUUCCGGCCUUCCUAGUGAAGAUGCUGCUACCCAUCUAAAUAGCUUCGUUGAUUUGUGUGAUAUGCAAAAGAAGAAAGAUGUGGAUAAUGAUAUUGUUAAAUUGAAGCUAUUUCCUUUUUCUCUUAGAGUUCGUGCUAAAGCUUUGUUUUCGUCUUUGCCUAAAAUAGUUUUGAUUCGUGGAAUAAGUGCAAAGAUGCUUUUAUCUCUAAGUAUUUUCCUCCCGCUAAGAUCAUCUCUCUUAGAAACAAUAUUAUGAAUUUUAAGCAACUUGAUCAUGAACAUGUUGCACAAGCUUGGGAGAGGAUGAAAUUAAUGAUACGUAAUUGCCCAACACAUGGUUUGAAUUUGUGGAUGAUUAUACAAAAAAUUUACGCUGGAUUGAAUUUUUCUUAUAGAAAUCUUUUAGAUUCGGCCGCGGGAGGCACUUUUAUGGAAAUCACUUUAGGAGAAGCUACUAAACUCCUAGAUAAUAUUAUGGUUAAUUAUUCUUAAUGGCACACUGAAAGAUCUACUAAUAAAAAAGUGCAUGUGAUAGAAGAAAUUAAUGUUUUGAGUGGAAAGAUGGAUGACUUAUGAAAUUAUUUUUUAAUAAAAGUGUUUCUUCUGAUCCAAAUGAUACGCCUUUGUCUACUUUGAUUGAGAAUAAUAAUGAAUGUAAGGAUGUGAAUUUUGUUGGUAGGAACAAUUUUGGUAACAACGCGUAUAGAGAAAAUUUAAUCCUAGGCCUUAUCCUAGUAAUUCCUCUAAUAAUUAUGGUAAUUCCUACAACAAUUCUUAUGGAAAUUAUAAUAAUGCCCUCUGAUUUUGAAUAUAAUAUUAAAGAAUUUAUUAUUUCGCAAAAGAAUUUCAAUGCUUUGAUUGAAGAAAAUUUGCAUAAGACUGAUGAGUUGGCUAGGAACGUUGAUAGAAUUUCUCUUGAUGUUGAUUCUUUGAAACUUAGAUCUAUUCCACCUAAGCAUGAUAUCAAUGAGUAUCUCAAAACCAUGAGAAUUUGCAUUGAUGAGUGCAAAGAAAGAACCGCUAGGAUGCGUGCUAAGAAAGAUUCCUUUAUAAGAGCGUGUUCUUCUAGUUUCCAUGAUAAUAAAGAUGAAGAUCUAAAAGUUAUUGAUGUGUCCCCUAUUAAAUCUUUGUUUUGCAAUAUGAAUCUUGAUAAUGAUGGGACUGAAUAUGAUCCACCUUUACCUAGAAGGCGUUCCAAAAAUUCGGAGUUUUUAGAUCUUGAUGCUAAAAUUUAUAAAAGUGGGAUUAAAGAGAUCAAAACUCUAGAUACUAAUGAACCUACUAUUCGGAGUUUUUAUUGUAUUUCCUUGUUGCAAUCCGUGUUAAAUUCUCCUCAUGCUUAUAGUCAAAAUAAAGCUUUUACCAAACAGUUAUCAUGAACAACUUCAACUAAAUGCAUCAAAUGUUACAAAUAAUACAUACAAACUUAGUUUAAUAAAUUAAUGAAUUAAAGCGAGAACAAACCUUCAAAUGUAAUUUAGAGUGAAUCAAUUAAGACCAUGUAAAGCUAUUACUAGUCCAAUAUUAAUUAAUAACUUGCACAUAAUUGCAACCAUUGACAUAAAAAGGGAAUAUGAUGAGUCAUGUAUUGAGAAUGUGUACAACAUUACUACCAUUGACAUAAAAGGAGAAUUUGAUGAGUCGUAUCAGCUUGUUCAUCUUACCAUUAUACUACACAACACUGCAAGCUAGUUUAAAAAAAAUAAGAGUACAGAAUGAACAUUAGAAUAGCCUGAUCUAUCUUUGACAACAUGCACAAGGAUACAAAUUUAGUCCCCCGCAAGCUAUGAAGAUUUGGUUUAUGUCUAACAACUUGUACAACAAGAUAAACUUAGAUCCAAAAGGAUUGCAAUCCAGAUAAUUGUUUGACAUGUAAAGUCGAUAAGAUGAGUCAGUGCCAAUUAUCAUGUUUUCGUCACUCUUAGAUGAUAUGUACAAUAAAAGGCAACUUUGAUGACCACUCCAAAAUUACAUUUGUAUGUAGUGCCACCAAACACAACACACCAAAUAAUCAGUUUGAUAAGCAUCAAAUCACUUUAAAAAAAUAAAAGCUAUAAUGAAAAGAAACCUAACCAUGGUAGCUAUAAAAAGGAUGCAAUAUGUAGACUCCAUACCAUCAUCCAUCCUUCACACAACUAGAGCACAAGUAUCAAAUCCAAUUAAGUAGUAGCCAACACAAAUCCACCAUGAAGACCUUAUUCAUCCUAACAAUCCUUGCGAUGGCAACAACUAUCGCCACCGCGAAUAUGCAGGUCGACCCCAGCGGCCAAGUACAAUGGCCACAACAACAACCAUUCCGCCAGCCCCAACAACCAUUCUACCAGCAACCACAACACACAUUUCCCCAACCCCAACAAACAUUCCCCCAUCAACCACAACAACAAUUUCCCCAGCCCCAGCAACCACAACAACAAUUUCCGCAGCCCCAGCAACCACAACAACCAUUUCCCCAGCCCCAACAAGCCCAACUACCAUUUCCCCAACAACCACAACAACCAUUCCCCCAGCCUCAACAACCCCAACAACCAUUUCCCCAGUCACAGCAACCACAACAACCUUUUCCCCAGCCCCAACAACCGCAACAAUCAUUCCCCCAGCAACAACAACCGUUGAUUCAGCCAUAUCUACAACAACAGAUGAACCCUUGCAAGAAUUACCUCUUACAACAAUGCAACCCUGUGUCAUUGGUGUCAUCCCUCGUGUCAAUGAUAUUGCCACGAAGUGAUUGCCAGGUGAUGCAGCAACAAUGUUGCCAACAACUAGCACAGAUUCCUCGCCAGCUCCAGUGUGCAGCCAUCCAUAGCGUCGUGCAUUCCAUCGUCAUGCAGCAAGAACAACAACAAGGCAUACAGAUCCUCCGGCCACUGUUUCAGCUCGUCCAAGGUCAGGGCAUCAUCCAACCUCAACAACCAGCUCAAUAUGAGGUGAUCAGGUCAUUGGUAUUGAGAACCCUUCCAAACAUGUGCAACGUGUAUGUCCGACCUGACUGCUCCACCAUCAACGCACCAUUUGCCAGCAUAGUCGCCGGCAUCAGUGGACAAUGAAAAAUGAAGAGUUAUGCUAAUAGGUAGAUGGAUCAUCGUUGCUUAGCUGAUGCACUAGUCUUUGUAGCGAUGAGGAAUAAAGUGGCGUGCACCAUCAUGUGUGACCCCGACCAGAGCUAGUUCAAGCUUCAGAAUAAAACACAAACAAAGUUCUUGUUUGCUAGCUUCGCUUUUCACUGUUCCAUUUACUUUUUAUUUUCAUGUUCGUUCCUAACCGCAAUCCUAGCCUUACACAUCAAUAGCUAGCUACUUCUGCUGGCAGGUUACUAUUUAAUCUAUCGAUUAAUGGUCGAUGUAUUAAUCCAGUUAAUAGGUUGAUUGAUAUAUUAGUUACUGCUCCCAAGCCGACCGAGCGCUAUCAGUUAGGGAUUUCCUGAACAUUGCACACAAUAAUAA